rnacentral:lncRNA from 1 species
AGUUAUAUUAGGUAAGAUAUAUCUGUUGCACAUUGGUAUUUGGUAAGAUAUCAAUUACUUUUUUCGCAUGAAUGGUAGGAUAUUAAUUACAUGACAGAUUUCAUGGGAUAACGUUGAGUCAAAACGUGUUUAUAACCAAUGGCAGUGGUGGGUAAUUAGAGCGCUAAACGUGUUUGGUGCUCAACAUUGGAGUGAUUUGAACCGCUAGAUAACAUGAUUUGACGGCCGAGAUGGUUUGGAUAUGCCUCUUUGGGUCUUUUUAUAUUGGUAUAGAUAGAUAUAGAUGAUAACACAUUGGAUGUGUGAUUAGUCUAUUUUGCGGAUAAAGGAGCAACGGAAAAAAAGUACUGGAGUUGGGGGCAAGACUGCUAGAACGGGUAGCAAGUGAAGUGUAUGCAACCUCGCAAGGGUGGAGAAUAAACGUGGCGCGACUGGAAGCGUAAACUCUUCCUGGAGGGGCGGCUGGCUCACUUGUUCCUAUCUGUUUCUUUUGCUGUUUUUGUCUUUUGAGUUAUGAGGCCCUUAGCCUGGAUGAAUGUAAUGAACUCGGUCUUUUUGGACUUAGAACUCGCUUUCGCUGAUGUAGGUUUAUGAAUGCUGUCAGUGCUCUGUGGCUAUGCCAGCCUGAGCUGGGAAUAGCUCCAUUGCCGUUUCUCCCUUUUCGGUUUUUGGCUUGUCCUUAUAGUUCUGAAUGUUGUGGUUUUCAUUAAUGAAAAUUGGAGGGGUGCGAAAGCCCUUCUUUCUUAAAAAAAACCCAUCAAUGCAUAUACAUAAAAAACACCAGCAAAUAGCAAAGUCAUAUAAAACUAAAUUUAUGCAUAGGCGAGAAAAAAAAAUACCCCAAAGCAAUCAGAUCUAUGAUCGGCAAACUAUAACAAUGACCAUAGGCACACCAACCAUCUUAUGACACCAAACGGACAAUGAGGUUUUUCGACAACAACGCCUUCAAGAAGCGAGCAACGCUCAAGCAUUGCCAUCACCGGAGCCAACCAUCCAAGGCCAGAAUCUAUUUUUUCACCCCGAAGAAUCAGUCUAAGAAUAUCUGAGCAAUACCUUCAACAAGGUAACGAUGUAGAAACAUCGUCAUUGUCGGGUAUACGCAACUCGGGUCAGAUUCGAUCUAGGCUUUCACCCCGUAGGUCGAGACCGGGCGCUCGAGUAGCACCACCAUCGUCGUCAUUCAAGUAUUUGUCAGCUUGUCGCCAUCACUUUUCCAUGAUUCCAGCAGCUACUUGCGAUAUGCAACUGCGCAGCCGCACAACCAUCCCUUUGCGUCUCACCAUGAAGUGGACCACUGAAUUUGGAGAUCUUUUGGUGGUCAUCGCAAUCUGUAGCCAGACCACGCUGCAGGCCGAAGUGGUUCUCGGCAAAACCUCCUCCGUGCCGCACAAACCCACCAGAACGCGUCACCCCGCUACCACCCACCACGAGGGCUCUGCCCCGUGGCACAUAGCCAGCCCAAGGGAAGGUUUCAUGGAGGUGAGAGCGCUAGUGGCGUCCAUUAUGAGGCUCGCCCGAGUCACCAAAAGCAACGUCGGGCCGACCCGGUUUUUCAGGCGCCUACGCGCACGGCGGCAGCAGCCAAGGUCGGGAGCCAUGUAGCCGGGCACCUUCUGCGGACGAGCAGCAUAAGAGGAUAAUGUCGGGAUGAGGCCGGGCCAGACUAGUGGUGACACGAUGCGAGCUCUGCGAGGGGAUUGGGGAUUAGGUUUUCUUUCUCAAGAGAAAUAUAGAGGAGAAAAGAUUGGGAGGCAGCUCGACGCCAAACCCAUUAUCUAUGUAUUCUUAUAUAAUGUGUGAAAUAGCCAAGAGAGAAGAAGUGAGUUGCCAAAGUUAGCUCCAACAUUGGUAUCAGCUAGGUGACGACGAAGACGACUCUGUGAGACGCUCCAGCGAGUGAAGCCAAGGUGCCGAGCGACUCGGCUGCCACGACGAUGCCAUCAGCGCGGAAGCUCCCAUUCCCGUUGUUAACGAGGAUAAACUACACGAUGUGGAUGAUGAGGAUGAAGUAUCUGUUACAGCCAACGACGCUUGCGCCGUUGACCGCAAGGAGUCGUCCAAGGAGGUCGAUGAGGGCAAGGAGGAGAGGGCUGUGGAAAAUAUUGUAAACAGAUCGGGAUCCAAGCUUCUCGGAGAUUCCAAGAUAUUGUCCAGUCAUUUCCCUUUUGUGCACUCUCUUACUUUUACCGAAGAAAAUCUGACAAAGUAGCCUUCCGAGUCCUUGCAAUUCCUUCUUACAUAGUACUCCCUUCAUUUUUAUUUACUAAGUAUAUUAGAUUUGAUCUAAAUCAAGUUUAUAAUGUUUGGCCAAGUUUAUAGAAACAAUAUAAACUUUUACAAUUAUAUAUAUAUAUAUAUAUAUGAUUAUUCAAAAUAAUAUUGAUUUUUUAACACAGUACAGACGCAGCCGCUUAUACAUACGCAAGUACAUGCAUAUCCCUAUGUGCACCUCCGAGAGACUAAGCCAUCACAUCAACUGGAGAUUGGCGAAGUCGCUACAUAAGAUUUUGUAGUCGAUGGGAACGUCUCCAUGCACUGAAUGAGCAUCGAUGGAAGACCUGAAAUAAAUACAAAAAAAUAUGAUCACCAAUGUCAAGUCUAUGACUUAAACACCGAUGGAUUGUGGGAUAUAACUGUCCUCCUAAUGCUAUUGAUUUGGUAUUGUGGAUGUCCUAAUAUUGUAUGAACUUGGCCAAAGUUCAUAAAGUUUUAUUUGUGACAAAUUAAUAUACAUAAUAAAGUAUAGAAAAUCACGUCAUUCAAACUAGCUUAGCCUUGAACGUAACCAGGUAUUAUUGCUUAUUUGACAGCUUGUAAGGAAAAAAAACUACUACUAGCACUAAUCACGACACAAGGUAGAAUAUGGCUAGUAUUUUCGGUGCGCAUGGGAAAUGUGGAAGAUAGUGUAAACAGACCGGGAUCCAAAGCUGCUCGACGGUUCCAAAGCUGAUUCAAAGCUCGAGGAUGGCAUCUCGGCGCACGUAAAUUGUAGUUGAGCUUGGAGCAUCUCCAACAAACACGCGCGGUUGCGCGGCGCGUUAUAUAUUUUUUUGCAGCGUCCAAAUAGCAUUUUAGCGCACUGGACUAGUGUUUUGCUAUACCAGAAGCGCAAAAACAUGGCGCCCAAUCCGGCGGCCCCACCUGCAGCAGCCUAGAUUUUACAGUGCGCGCGAGCGGGCACACCAAAUAAGUAGCACGCAACGCCGCCGUUUUCCCCAGCGCGCUGAACCUACUUUGUUGCGCGCGAAAUUUUAGCGCAUCUGCUGGAGCGCCAGCUUCGAUCGCGCGCGCAAUAUAGUCAUUUCUUCCAGCGCGCAACUAAUCUAGCGCGUCUCUUGGAGAUGCUCUUACGAGAGCAUCUAUUUUUCAGGUACCUGAAAAGAUCUGAACCUUCAUAUCUUCAUUCAACAGCCCUAAACAGAUCGUAUAUUGUUCAUCUUCUUCUUCCUCUCACACGUUUUUUAUUCUCCUUCCUCGCCAAUGUUCUUCCUUCUCUCCGCGGCUUACUCAGACCUAACACCUGCCUCCACCCCUGCAGCCUGUGAUUGUUGCUGCCCCGCUCUCCCCUCGACCUCCCUCCAUCACCGUGCCGCCCCGCUACAUGAUUAACAACUCGGACGAUCUCCUACGCUCGCGCACGCACACACCCCACUCUCAAGAUAAUGGGGUUAUGACUUCCCUCUAAGAUGAAUAAUGAGGCUAUGACUUUUUCUUGAAGAUAAAUAGUGGGGUUGGUUCCUCAUUCAAGUGCGCUCGAAAAGAUGGAAGAAAGAACAAAAAAGUGGAAUUUCAUGGUACCAUGAAAUUAGCAAAAUCAGGCUGGUCAUAGUGUGAAGUAUCAUAUACUAGUAUCAUGCAUAUGAUACUAGUGUAUGAUACUACAUCCAUAGUGCAUAGGCCCUGUUUGGUUCAUAAGUCCUAGGACUUUUUCUAGUCCCAACUAAAAAGUCUCUAGUCCCUAAAAAGUCCCCCCUGUUUGUUUUCAGGGACUAAAAAGUCCAUAGUCCCUCCCUAGAGGUUUUUAAAUGACCAUGUUACCCUAGUAUACAGAAAAAUAACAACCAAACAACACCAUGGGAUGGCGGGGCAAUGGGUGCAAGGAGGGGCAUUGUUGAAAAAGUCCCAAAAAGACUCUCCUUAAGAGUCUUCUUCAUUUAAUCCCAAAAAGUAACUUUUAGUCCCUAGUAGUCCGUCAAAAAGUCUCUAAGAGUGACUAGAAAAAGUCUGUGGAAACACACACCCCCAUAGUAUCAUAGAUUAGUAUCAUAUGCGAUCUCUUUUAUUGCCAUGCAUGACAUAUAGUAACAUAACAUUAAUUAUGUUACGGUAUCCAGCUAUGUUACUAUAACCAUCUUUUUUUUAAUUGUCUGCCACAUAAGCAUAUUUACGAGUUGGCCAGCCUGCAUACACGGCCUCGUAAUACACGCACGCGGUAUCCAAAGCUGCUCGAAGCACAAGACUUCGCCACCAUGCAUACAUGCAUGCAUGCACAUGUGUGUGUCAGUACCAUUAAUGAGGUCAACUUGACGACGAAUACGAGUAACCUCGAUUCGAUGCCCUAAUGGAAAAGGAUUAUAGUACGUAUUAAACAAGGGUUUUUGUACUAGCGCCCGGGUCGCACGGUUUCCAUCGACACAGUGAGUAACGCUGAGCUAAGGUUGGAGCAGCUAGCCGAAUGCCGCACAGCACAAGCACGGCAGCAACACCUAUGAAGCCCUUCUCCCGGAGCCUCCAGAGGGACCUGGACGCCGCAGUCGACGACGAUGACGGCAAGCAGCACUUCGCCGACGACGGCGAUGGCAAGCAGAACACCGAGAGAGGCCUCCGGCGGCCGUCCCGGCUCUUCUACCUCGCGCUCCUCUACACCGUCUUCUGGGCCCUGGUAUUCUACCACCACUUCUCCACCAGCUCGCAACAAUCCGGCAAAGCGGCGGUGGCAGCACCCACCGUGCUCCAGCUCAAGCCGUCGGCGUUCUUCUCGCAGUCUCGCUUCUUCCGCCUGGACCCGUGCGGCGGCCGGUACGUGUACAUGUACGACCUGCCGCCGCGGUUCAACGCCGACCUCGUCCGCCAGUGCGGCCGGGUCCCAAUCUCCUCCCACGUGUGCAAGGACGUGUCCCACGACGGGUUCGGCCCGCCCAUCCCGGGCGGCGGCGAGGGCGGGUCGCUGCCGGAGCGGGGCGCCUACGACACCGACCAGUUCAUGCUGAGCAUCAUCUUCCACGCCCGGAUGCGGCGGUACGAGUGCCUCACGGCCGACCCCGCCGCCGCCGACGUGGUGUACAUCCCGUUCUACGCCGGCCUGGACGCGGCGAUGCACCUGAGCAACCAAGACCUCGCGGUGCGGGACGCCCUGUCUCGGGACCUGAUGGACUGGCUGGCGCGGCGGCCAGAGUGGCGCGCCAUGGGCGGGCGCGACCACUUGCUCGUCUCCGGGCGGGGUACAUGGGACUUCCUCCGCAGCCCGGACUCAACCGGCUGGGGUAACACGCUCAUGACCUACGACCUGGCCAUCCGCAACGCCACGUUCCUCAGCACUGAGGCUAGCCCGCGGCACGGCAACGACUUCGCUCUGCCGUUCCCGUCGCACUUCCAUCCCACUUCCGACGCCCAAGUCACCGGCUGGCAGGACCGCAUGCGCCGGCGGGACCGCGCGUGGCUCUGGUGCUUCGCCGGCUGGCCCCGUGCCCAGGGCAUCGGUAUGGGGCCUGAGCGCGCCGAGAUCAUGGAGCAGUGCGGCAACUCCAGCCGCUGCUCUAUGCUUGGCAAGUUGAACCACUACGUGCCCAUGCGGCUGCUCGGGAGCGCCGAGUUCUGCAUGCAGCCGCGCGGCGACGGCUACACGCGCAAGUCCACCUUCGACGCCAUCCUCGCCGGCUGCAUCCCGGUCUUCUUCCACCCGGUGUCCGCCUACCUCCAGUACACCUGGCACCUGCCCAGGGACUACCGGAGCUACUCCGUUUUCAUCCCUCACGGCGACGUCGUCGCCCGGAACGUCAGCAUCGAGGAGGUACUGCGUAAGAUACCGUCAGGGAGGGUGGCGCAGAUGCGGGAGCGGGUCAUCCAGCUUAUACCUACCGUGAUGUACCGGCACCCGGCGGCCAAGGAGGUUACGUUCAAAGACGCGUUCGACGUCGCUCUUGAGCGUGUCCUCCACCGGGUGGCCAAGCGCCGGCGUGCCGCGGCCGACGGACGGGAGUACGUGGACAGCGUCGACGGACGUGAUAGCUGGAAGUACGACCUGAUGCUAGAAGAUGGGCAGAACAAGAUAGGUCCGCACGAGUUUGAUCAAUAUGUUCACAUGAACGCAACCAAAGAUUAACUUGCCUAGUUAAUUGGGGAAGUAAAAAUUAUCCGCUGCCCAACACUCGCAUGCGGCGCGAUCAAACCGUCGUAUGAUGUUCUUCCUCAUCACCUGCUCCCUUGCAGCAGCGAGAGAGGAUUUUCUACCAUGCAUUCAUCAUUUUUUUUAUUAAGAGCAUCUUCAACGGACGCGCAAAAACUGCUCCGCACGCUAAAAACCGUUCUUUUUGGCGCGGAGACGCUCCAGCAAAUGCUGUAAAACAAUGCAUGUUUUCAAAACUUGCCAUGCGAAUGAACUGAAAGGAUGCAAUUUUCGGGACAUAAAAAUUGCCAUGGCACCACCAUACAUAUGUCAAAGCUUUGGAAUUUAGUUGUCUAAAAAACAUGUCAAUUUUUUUAAAAUGUAAAUUUACCAUGGUCCAUAAAGUGAAAUUGCCAUGUGCCAUAAAAGUGAAUUUUCCUUGGUCUAAAAAACCAUUAUGGAGGAAAUCAUUAACUGGUAGGUGCUCGGUUGGCUCGCGAGUAGGGAAUUAAUAGGCUAAUCGACAAGUUAAUCGGUCAGUUAAUCAAUUAAUCGGCCAAUUUUUCAAUUAUCGGCUACUCAGUGACCCUACGAGUAGGGAUUAAUCGGAAAGUUAGCUAGUUAAUCGGACGAAUUCUUGAACAUGAAAAAAACCACGACAAAUAACCUCUCUACACCACGGAAAUUUACCAUGUAUCUAUAAAAAGAUAAUUUGCCAUUGUCCAUGAAAUUUUCAAUGGCAACAUAUUAUAUUUUGCUGCCAUGGUUCAAAAAUUAUUUGAUUUGCCACCAGAACAAAACAAGAUGUUGAGUUACAUAAUCACAAAAACAGAAGACUUGCCAUGGCAAAUGUUGAGACAUGGCAACUAUUCAUAAACGAUAAACCAUUAACAAAAAUUAACGAAUUACACCUAAAAAUGUUGUCUGAUCAGUCCAUUCAUUUUACACAAGAUUGUCAUGUGCUAUAAAUCAAAUUUUCAUGAAUUUUUUGUGCACCUAUUUACAAGAUAUCUAAAUUUUCCAUGAUGAUGUGUGAGUUCCAUCGAUUCUCGUAGCAACUAAUCCAAUCACCAAGCAACCCUAAAAACAAUGGCAAAUUUGCGAUGGAAAAAAUCUAGAGAACACAAUUAUACCUAAAGUUUCAAUGAGACCAGUCCAUCCAGUUUACACAAAACUAGCAGGGUGACCCGCGCAUUUGCGCGGCUAGAUUUAUUAAGUAUUCUCAUAUUUGUCAUUUCAGAUUCAGGCACGGUCUCUACUACAAAGCUUUAGUCCCUAUUAUUUGAUAAAUAUGCACUUUGUACAUAACCAAAUCAUUGUACUACUAAGAGAUUUGUGAUGGAUAAAAUUGUACUUCUUACUUAUAUAAGAUAUAAAUGUCUGCACCUUGGUUACAUGUAUUAUUAGACAAAGUCAUCUAUGUACAGAGAGACAUAGUUCUAGACUUUUUUCUUUGUGUUCGUGACAUGCACGUUUCCUCAGCUGAGCCGGUGUUCAUAGUAACCCGGCAGGGGAUUUUCACCCUCUGAAGAUGUAUCUUGGCAAUAAAAAGUCUGGUUCCAGUCCUUACGAUGAUUGGGCGGCUUGGCAUAUGGGAAGGUGGCUUCUUUCCGCUUCUGAAGUGGAACUCCGUCUAGCUCCAAGUUGGGUCCGUCUGUGAAUUCAGUUUGCCGGUUCAACUAAUAGAAUUCCCUGAACAGUUCAACAGUGGGCUCUUGUUGAAGAUAAGCUAGCAGGGUGACUGACGCAUUUGCGCGGCUAGAUUUAUUAAGUAUUCUCAUAUUUGUCAUUUCAGAUGCAGACACAGUCUCUACUACAAAGCUUUUGUCACUAUUAUUUGAUAAAUAUGCACUUUGUACAUAACCAAAUAAUUGUACUACUAAGAGAUUUGUGAUGGAUAAAAUUGUACUUCUUACUUAUAUAAGAUAUAAAUGUCUGCACCUUGGUUACAUGUAUUAUUAGACAAAGUCAUCUAUGUACAGAGAGACAUAGUUCUAGACUUUUUUCUUUGUGUUCGUGACAUGCACGUUUCCUCGGCUUACACACUAUUAUAUACGUCGCCUUUGAUUUUUAGCAUAUCUGGUCCAUAACUCUAACCAUCAUUUGCUAUAUGAAUGUUUGUAGAAAAUUAUAAAUUGAUAAAACUAUAGAAAUAAUACAUGACAAAUUGAAUUAUAUUAUUUUUGGUUGACUAAUAUUUUUGUAUAUACUAUAAUUGCCUAUGUUGGUAAAGUUUGAGUGCACCCAUUCUUCUCAAUAUAUAGUUCUAUAAUUCAAUAUUGAUAUCUAACAGGACACAAAGACACAAAGACACAUUAUUAUAAUACUUACUAAAUAUUCUCAUGGUAAUUUAGAACAAAGAACAUAAUCUAAACAUGUAUUUUUCUUUCUCAACAGCCUUAUCACAUGUGCAAUAUUACAUUUACAAUAUAUUCGUUCCAUGUAAUGCCGUACAUAUGAAAUAUGUGCUAUCGCCCGCACAUCUAACAUAAUGCUUUUAUCUGGGCACACUCAUAAAAAAAAGUUAAAACUCGAUAAGUCUCCACAAAUAUUUUUAUAUUUUGUGAUGAUGUCCAUGCAUGUUAUUAGCGUCAAGUUGUAUUAUUUCGCACAGUAAGCAGAUUAUCACAUACUUGACUUAUUUGUGCUCCCAACUGUUAUAUUUGCUGGCAUAAGACUAUGUUACAUUAUUUUCAUGAUUCUCUAACUCAUAGACAUCGCACAAUAGCAAUGGUGGUUCAUUAUUCUUACCUUCUACUCCUCUUCAUCAUCGCUAUUUCCCCCCAUAUCCAAAAUGUUGUUUAAGCUAGCUAAAAUGUGCAUCACGACGAACAUGAUCAAACUGCGGUGGAAAAACAUGUGAGUAAUAGCACACACUACAAGAAAUAUGUCAACUUGUGACCUUCUAUCAGUGACCCUGGAAGAAAUGGUCAUAAAUCUACGACCAUUUCAGACCAACUAGUCAUAAACUGCUCGGGGGGACUCCAAACCCAAACCAUAAUGACCAUUUUGGUCAAAAAGGUCGUAAUUUCCUUACGCAAAAUGGUCAUAAAGCAGACAGCACUGGUCCGCUGCCUUAUUUCUAGCUGAUCACGACAAAUAUAGAUGGUCAUAGCCUUGUAAAUUGUGGUGCAUUGCUAUGACUGGGCGCCACCUCAUUAGUUUUGCCUAUGUGUCAUGUCCAUGUGUCAAUAUUUGCCCUAGGUUGUGAAGCGGCCUACAUUUCUGUCAUUCCCAAAAUUCCUAAAAAAUACUCAUAAAUUCUUUGGAUCAUAUAUUCAUCAAAUAUGUCCAAACCCUUCCGUCCCUAGUUCAAAAAUCAUUCAACAAUAUUCAUUUUCCUAUUCUGUUCAGAAAAACACUUUGUGAAGGAAGUGUUAUUUAUAUUUUCUUGAUUGCCCUCAAAUUUUUUUAGACACUCUUUCCUAUCCAAAUCAUUACCUCAUGAAAAAAUUCAGCUCCAUUUUCCUUGUAAAUCUUCCUCAGCAAAUUUCCAAAGUUUCCGUUCAGCUAGAAGCUUUGUGAGGGACGUACUAGCUAGGAAUAUCCGAAUGAGUUGAAUUUUUUCACAUAUUCUAUAUUCACAAAUAAUAGCUCUCCACAAAAUUUGAGCCCCAUCUAAUAAUCCAUGUGAGCUCACCAUCAAAUAUUUUUCUAGUAAUAUUUUAAGUUUGUGAAACAACUACAUUUUAUAUUGCUUUAUAAUUGCUGAAAAUUUACCAGGACAUGACCCUGACCAUAGAACCUCCCUCCACAAGAUUUAUCUCAUUUAAUUUAGCCAAUUUCCCUCAAUAUGUUUCCCAAUUUUCUGUUCAGUGGAGAGCAUUGUGAAGCAAGUACCAUUUUUAUUUAUCCAAAUGGUAUGUAAUUUUUACAGUGCCUUCAUAUGCCCUAAUUAUAAUCCUCCUCCAAAUUGCAGCUCAAUCCAAUCAUCUAUGUGAGCCUAGCUUCAAUUUCUAUUUUUAUUGGCACAUUGCAAAGCAAGUGCUAUCUAUACCCCUCCUAUUAUCCUCAAACUUUUUGGGCAAACUUCCAUAUCCAAAUCAUUGCCACAUGCCAAUAUUCAGCUCCAUUUGCCUAGUAAAUAUUCCUCAACAAAUUUCCAAAAUUUCUAUCCAGAGAGAAGCUUUGUGAAGGAAGUACUAGCUAGGACUAUCCAAAUGAUCUGAGAUUUUUCCAAAUCUUCCAUAUGCUCAAAUGAUCACUCUCCACAAAAUUUGAGCUCUAUCCAUCAAUCCAUGUGAGCUCAUCAUCUUUUAUUCCGGUCAUUUUUUUAGUUUGUGAAGCAACUAUAUUUUAUAUUCCUUAAUUAUUGCUGAAAAUUUACCAGGGUAUGUUCCUACCUAUAUAACUUACCUCCACCAAAUUUUAACUCAUUUCAUUUAUCUAAUUUCUCUCAAUAGUUUUCCAAAGUUUCUGUCCAGAGAAGAGCAUUGUGAAGUAAGUGCCACUUUGGCAUGUCCAAAUGGUAUCCAAUUUUAUAGUGCUUCACUAUGCCCAAACGACCAUCCUCCACCAAAUUUCAGCUCAAUCCAUUCAAUCAUUUGAGCCCAGCUUCAACAUCCAUAUUUCUGCCCAGUGUGGUACUUUGCAAAGCAAGUGCCACGUAGGCUCCUCCAUUUGAGCUGAAAAUUUGCCAAGACAGUAUCCUUAGUAAAUGAUCAUCCUGAGCCAAAACUCAGGCCCAUUGGCCAUGUGCGUUUCCCCCACCGCUAAUCAAACACUUGGCUGCCAAUUCAUGUUUGAGCAUAUAUAGUUCAGUCUCCUCGUGAGAUUCUUCUAUUGUAUUCUUCUUCCUAACACCUACCAAGGGAGUGUCCAACCCACCAGACAUGCCUGCCUAGAACGCAUGGCAACACCACGGUCACGCGGUCACCACGCGACUGGCAUGCCAAUUUACGCGCUCUAGAGUUGGGCCCCUCGGCCACCGUCGAAACCUCGACGUCUCAUCACCACACCAUGUAUUUCUGAUUAAAUAGAUACUUAUGUACCUAGAAAUGAUUUUUGGAAAAAAUAAAGAGCAAACUAUAAGGCAGCUACAGUUCAAAUUUGACCCGCUUCCUCCUAAAUCGACGAAAAUUUGUCUUUUUCACAAGAGGUGGACCAAAGCUUUUGACACCCAACCGAAGUUUUGGCCACUCUUUUUUUUAUUUCCUCACAUGGGACAAUAGUCUAGUAAUGAUGAUCAUCACACUUCUAUUUACUUACAACUCAAGAAUUACAACUCGAUACUUAGAACAAAAUAUGACUAUAUGAAUGCCUCCGGUGGUGUACCGGGAUGUGCAAUGACUCAAGAGUGACAUGUAUGAAAGAAUUAUGAAAGGUGACUUUGCCACAAAUACGAUGUCGACUACAUGAUCACGCAAAGCAUUAUGACAAUGAUGAAUCGUGCCAUAAUAAAACGGAACGGUGGAAAGUUGCAUGGCAAUAUAUCUCGGAAUGGCUAUGGAAAUGCCAUAAUAGGUAGGUAUGGUGGCUGUUUUGAGCAAGAUAUAUGGUGGGUGUAUGGUGUUGGGAAUCGUAGCAUAAUUUUUAAAAUUUUCCUAUGCUCACCAAGAUGCAUCUAUGGAGUAUACCAGCAACGAGGGGAAAGGAGUGCAUCUACAUACCCUUGUAGAUUGCGAGCGGAAGCGUUCCAAUGAACGUGGAUGACGGAGUCGUACUCGCCGUGAUCCAAAUCACCGAUGACCGAGUGCCGAACGGACGGCACCUCCGCGUUCAACACACGUACGGUGCAGCGACGUCUCCUCCUUCUUGAUCCAGCAAGGGGGAAGGAGAGGUUGAUGGAGAUCCAGUAGCACGACGGCGUGGUGGUGGAUGUAGCGGGUCUCCGCAGGGCUUCGCAAGCUUCUGCGAGAGAGAGAGAGAGGUGUUGCAGGGGAGGAGGGAGGCGCCCAAGGCUGUUGUGUGCUGCCCUCCCUCCCUCCCUUUAUAUAGGCCCCCUGGGGGGGCGCCGGCCCCAAGAGAUGGGAUCUCAAGGGGGGGCGGCGGCCACAAAGGGGGGAAGGGGUGCCUUGCCCCCCAAGGCAAGGGGGAACUCCCCCCUAGGGUUCCCAACCCUAGGGGCAUGGGGGGAGGCCCAAGGGGGGCGCCCCAGCCCACUAAGGGCUGGUUCCCUUCUACUUUCAGCCCACGGGGCCCUCCGGGAUAGGUGGCCCCACCCGGUGGACCCCCGGGACCCUUCCGGUGGUCCCGGUACAAUACCGGUAACCCCCGAAACUUUCCCGGUGGCCGAAACUGGACUUCCUAUAUAUAAUUCUUCACCUCCGGACCAUUCCGGAACCUCUUGUGACGUCCGGGAUCUCAUCUGGGACUCCGAACAACUUUCGGGUUUCCGCAUACAUAUAUCUCUACAACCCUAGCGUCACCGGACCUUAAGUGUGUAGACCCUACGGGUUCGGGAGACAUGCAGACAUGACCGAGACGCCUCUCCGGUCAAUAACCAACAGCGGGAUCUGGAUACCCAUGUUGGCUCCCACAUGUUCCACGAUGAUCUCAUCGGAUGAACCACGGUGUCGAGGAUUCAAUCAAUCCGUAUGCAAUUCCCUUUAUCAAUCGGUAUGUUACUUGCCUGAGAUUCGAUCGUCGGUAUCCCAAUACCUUGUUCAAUCUCGUUACCGGCAAGUCUCUUUACUCGUACCGCAAUGCAUGAUCCCGUGACUAACGCCUUAGUCACAUUGAGCUCAUUAUGAUGAUGCAUUACCGAGUGGGCCCAGAGAUACCUCUCCGUCACACGGAGUGACAAAUCCCAGUCUCGAUCCGUGCCAACCCAACAGACACUUUCGGAGAUACUCGUAGUGCACCUUUAUAGUCACCCAGUUACGUUGUGACGUUUGGCACACCCAAAGCACUCCUACGGUAUCCGGGAGUUGCACGAUCUCAUGGUCUAAGGAAAAGAUACUUGACAUUGGAAAAGCUCUAGCAAACGAAACUACACGAUCUUUUAUGCUAUGCUUAAGAUUGGGUCUUGUCCAUCACAUCAUUCUCCUAAUGAUGUGAUCCCGUUAUCAAUGACAUCCAAUGUCCAUAGUCAGGAAACCAUGACUAUCUGUUGAUCAACGAGCUAGUCAACUAGAGGCUUACUAGGGACACGUUGUGGUCUAUGUAUUCACACAUGUAUUACGAUUUCCGGACAAUACAAUUAUAGCAUGAAUAAUAGACGAUUAUCAUGAACAAAGAAAUAUAAUAAUAACCUUUUAUUAUUGCCUCUAGGGCAUAUUUCCAACAUAUGGUACCGGCAAAAGUUGCGCAGUACUAGAGAGGCUAGCAAUGGUGGAAGGGUGAGAGUGCGUAUAAUCCAUGGACUCAACAUUAGUCAUAAAGAACUCACAUACUUAUUGCAAAAAUCUAUUAGUCAUCAAAACAAAGUACUACAUGCAUGCUCCUAGGGGGAUAGAUUGGUAGGAAAAGACCAUCGCUCGUCCCCGACCGCCACUCAUAAGGAAGACAAUCAAUAAAUACAUCAUGCUCCAACUUCGUUACAUAAAGGUUCACCAUGCAUCCAUGCUACGGGAAUCACAAACCUCAACACAAGUAUUUCUCCAAUUCAAAAUUACUCACUAGCAUGACUCUAAUAUCACUAUCUUUAUAUCUCAAAACAAUCAUAAGGAAUCAAACUUCUCAUAGUAUUCAAUGCACUUUAUAUGAAAGUUUUUAUUAUAUCCCUCUUGGAUGCCUAUCAUAUUAGGACUAAAUUUAUAACCAAAGCAAAUUACCAUGUUGUUUAAAAAGACUAAAAACAAUAUAAGUGAAGCAUGAGAGCUCAAUAAUUUCUAUGAAAUAAAACCACCGCCGUGCUCUAAAAAGAUAUAAGUGAAGCACUUAGGGCAAUAUUGCCUAGCUCAAAAGAUAUAAGUGAAGCACAUAGAGUAUUCUAAUAAAUCAUGAUUCAUGCGUGUCCCUCUCAAAAGGUGUAUACAGCAAUGAUGAUUGUGGCAAACAAAAAAGCAAAGACUCUAAUCAUACAAGACGCUCCAAGCAAAAUACAUAUCAUGUGGUGAAUAAAAAUAUAGCCUCAAGUAAAGUUACCGAUAGACGAAGACGAAAGAGAGGAUGCCUUUCGAGGCAUCCCAAAGCUUAGGCUCUUGGUUGUCCUUGAAUAGUACCUUGGGGUGCCUUGGGCAUCCCCAAGCUUAGGCUAUUGCCACUCCUUAUUCCAUAGUCCAUCAAAUCCUUACCCAAAACUUGAAAACUUCACAACACAAAACUCAACAAAAAAUCUCAUAAGCUCCGUUAGUAUAAGAAAAUAAAUCACCACUUUUGGUACUAUUGUGAACUCAUUAUUUAUUUAUAUUGGUGCAAUAUCUACUGUAUUGCAACUUUUCCAUGGUUCAUACCCGCCAACUUUUCCAUGGUUCAUACCCGCCAAUGUCUAUGGUUAGGAAACUUAACCAUCUUUGAUUAACGAACUAGUCAAGUAGAGGCAUACUAGGGACACUAUCUUUUGUCUAUGUAUUCACGCAUGUACUAAGUUUCCGGUUAAUACAAUUCUAGCAUGAAUAAUAAACAUUUAUCAUGAAAUAAGAAAAUAAAUAAUAACUUUAUUAUUGCCUCUUGGGGGGACAGCCCAAGAAGUUCUCACACAUUGAGAUGAAGGCAGCAAGAUAUGAUAUUGCAUUUGGGGGAAGAUGAUGGAUUUGUGUGCCAAAAAAAAUUCAAGAACCGCCGGAAGAAUGGAUGGGGGGCAAAGAAAAACCUCUCUCCAUGUGAGUGAGGAGAAGGACCUGCUCCUCAGGGCACGGCGCAGGCUCGAUCUCCCCCUUCGGCAGCCUCCAAGACCCGGGAACUAGCAGGCCAUCGGCGGUGAGCCCCUCGAAGUCCUCCUCCAUGACCGUCAAGGGCAGCCAGUCGCCCUGGAUCCAGCCCGGUGGCAGAGUGGGCUGGGAGCUUGACCCCUUCUUCCCCUUGGCCGCCUUCUUGGCGUGCUCCAGCUUCGCCAUCUUGUCCUUCACCAUCUCCGCGGAGGUCCUCAGAGCCGAGCGGGGCGGCGCGGCGCAGGGGCGGAAGAGGCGGAGAGAUGAAGUGGAGAGGGGAAAAGACGAUAGCACUGUUGCACGCUUCGGCUUCGUCGUCCUUUAUACCCACACGUCCGAGUGACUGGCCUGUGGGCCAGCGCGAUCUCAGCGCAUCCUGCAACUAACGCCAGCCUGAUACAUGGCGAAAAAGGUGGAGCAAAGAUCGAGAAGUUCCUCCCCACUUGCCCCACUUACCGCGCUACAGCCGGCCCGCGCCCUUCUCCAAAUUUUCGAAUCCCAUGAUAUCCGGAUCCAGCAAAUCAAUCGAUUGCGUCAGAGAUAUCCAUAUUCACUCGGGUCGACGUUCUACUACAUGUUUAACUCCAACAUUCAAGAAGCCAGAAUCGACCAAGGCGACUGACGGAGGAUUAAGCAGCUCGCAUACCUUCAGACUCUUGAAAAACGUCUCCGAGGCAUUGAGUCGGGUUGAAAUUAGCUCCAAUCCAUCCUCACUCGAACCUCGAUCCAUUCGGGGGCUAAUGACGAUGACAUGUACCUAGGUUAGGGUCAUAGUCCUGACCUACAUGCCCUACCCAAGGACACGAUACAAAGACUCCAAGGCCUACUAAGUUAGAAAGGAGGUACCGACUGGAAUGACUGCAAUGUGCAAGUCACUCGACAGUGGAUCCACUCGGUUAACUCCACCCCCCACUCGACCGUCGUCAUUCACUCGGAACAUCUAAUUUCACUCAGAGAAUAGAAGACCUAGAGCCACCCCAGGAUGGCAACGGUCAGGCGAUCACUCCCUCGCUAUAAAGAUCAUUCAUUAUGGGCGUUUCCAGUAACGUUCUCAUCUUUACUUUCUCCUUGAACCCUUGCGUAACUGAGGGCAACGAGGGGCCAGCGGACUCUAUAUAAGCCGCCCCUCUCCUUCAUCACAAGGGUUCACACCCCCUGUAACUCAACCACUCCAAAGAAACAAAGCUCCCGCAGCACCGAGACAUAGUUUUACCUCCUCCGAGAGGGGCCUGAACUCGUAAAUCCGAGUGUACAAUCUCGCCGUAGCUAGGCUCUGCCCUCUCCUACGUACCCCUACUUCUACUGUCAGAUCCGUUCCCAUGACAGCCACCAUUUUUCCAUGAUCCCAACAGCUACAUGAGAUGUGCCACUACGCAGCCACAUAGCCAUCCCUCUGUGCCAGGCCAUCGUCAUAGUUUGCAUCUCACAACCGAAUCUGGAGAUCUUUCGCUGGUCAACGGAAUCUGUAGCCAGACCACGGCCGCAGGCCGAAGUGGUUCCUGGCAAAGCCUCCUCCACGCCGCACAAACCCACCAGAACGCGUCGCCACGCUACAACCCGCCGCGAGGGCUCUAUCACGUGGCACAUAGGAAGCGGCAAGGGAAGGAUUCAUGGAGGUGAGAGCGCUAGUGUUGUUUGUCUUGAGGCUCCGCCUAAGUCACCAAAAGCGACGCCGGGCCGACCAGGUUUUUCAUGCGCCUACGCGCACGGCAGCAACAACCAAGGUCGGGAGCCACGUAUUCAGGCACCUCAGGCGGACGAGCAGCACAGGAGGAGGAUGUCGGGACGAGGCUGGGCCAGACUGGUGGCGACAUGAUGCAAGCUCUGCGAGGGCAGUGGGGGUGGUGGGACAGUUCAUGGCUGCGCACGAGAGGACCUGCUGCGGCCGACCAACACGAGAGGCUUUGCUCUGGUGGCCCCGCCCGGCGGUGGCGAGGGAGAGGCAAGGCCGAGAGACGCUAGAGAAGCAGCGGUGGCGCCACCACCCGUGUCGCCCUCGGUGACGACGUGGAGGCUAGGUUUCCUUUGUCAAGGGAAAUAUAGAGGAGAAAAGAUUGGGUUGUGUGAGGCAGCUCGACGCUAAACCCAUUAUCUUUGUAUUCUUGUAUUGUGUGAAUAUCCAAGAGAGAAGAAGUGAGUUGAGAGAGUUAGCUCCAAUAUUUAGUAUCAGCUAGGUGAUGAUAAUGACGACGCCGUGUGACGCUCCAACGAGUGCAACCAAAGUGCCGAGCGACUCGGCGGCCAUGGCGGUGGCCACGACGAUGGUAGCGGCCGGGAAGCUCCCAUUCCCACAGUUAACCAGCACAAACUACACGGUGUGGAUGAUGAGGAUGAAGUAUCUCUUAUGAGCCAACGACGCAUGCGCCGUUGACCGCAAGGACUUGUCGAAGGAGAUCGACGAGGGCAAGGGGGAGAUGACUAUGGAAAAUAUUGUAAACAGAUCAGAAUCCAUGGUUAUAAUGAUGAAAAAUAUUCAAUGAUGAUUCUAAUGCUAUUGAAUUUUUUUAACGCAAUACAGACGCAGACGCUCAUACAUUCGCAAAUAAAAUCAUCCUUAUGAACAUAGGCACACCCUACCCCGAUGAGCACCUCCGAGAGACUGAGCCGGCACAUCAUCUUGAGAUUGACGAGAUCGUCACGGACACUUUUGUAGUCGACGGGAACGUCUACACCCACUGAACGCACAUCACCGGAAGGCCUGAAAUAAAUACAGAAAAAGUAUGAUCAUCAAUGUCAAGUCGGGACUUGAACACUGGUGGGUGAGGGAUACAACUGUCCUCCUAAUGCUAUUGAUUUGGUAUUGUCGAUGUCCUUGGCCAAAGUUCAUAAAGUUUGAUUGGUGACAAAGUUAAUAAACAGAAUAAAUAUAGCAAAUAAAGAGAGUAUUUGACAGCUUGUAAGCAAAAAAAAAAAACUACUAAGCACUAAUCACGACACAAGGUAGAAUGUGGCUAGAAUUUCCGGUGCGCCUGGGAAAUGUGCAAGAUAGUGUAAACAGGCCGGGAUCCAAAGCUGCUCGAUGGUUCCAAAGCUGCUCGACGGUUCCAAAGCUGAUCCAAAGCUCGACGAUGGCAUCUCGGCACAGGUAAAUUAGUAGUAAUAAUUAAACUUAUGGGAGCGUCUAUUUUUCAGGGGAGAAUUUCCCGACAGAAACCAAUAUUCAAUGAAAACUUAGUGAAAACCAUACUUUAAAGUUAAAGAAACUGAAAAAAUACGGAAUGUUAAGUGGGUGAUGUUUAUUUGCCAUGCAAAAUUUCAAGUAGAAACACAUUAUGAAAUGUGAGCUAUAAAAAAGACAAAAUGUCACUAUUCAACGCUGAUUUUCUCUUUUUCAUAGCUCACAUCUCGUAAUGUGUUUCAAAUUAAAAUUUUGCAUGGAAAUAAAACAUCAUCCUCUUAACAUUCUGUAAUUUUUCAGAUUUUUUCAGAACUUUAAAACAUCUUUUUCUCCUGGUUUCGUCGAUUUCCAUCGAAUAUUUUUCCCAUAUGAUAUUCUCCCAUUUUUCAGGUACCAGCCGGAAAAUCCGGACUGCCACAUCUUCAUCCAACAGCCUGAAACAGAUCGUGUACUUUUCAUCUUCUUAUGCCUCCCCACGGCCUACUCACACCUAACUGCCUACCUACACCCCUGUGGCCGGCAAAUGUUGUCGCCCCGCUCUCCUCUCGACCUCCCUUCAUCGCCGUGCUGGCAGCCGCCCCGCUCCAAGAUGAACAACUCCGACGAUCCCCCACGCGCGUGCCCACACACACCCCACCCUAAAGAUGAUGGGUUGUGGCUUCCCUCUAAGAUGAAUAAUGAGCCAUGACUUUCCAUUAAGAUAGAUAGUGAGGUUUGUUCUUCAUCCAAGUGUGCUUGAAAAGAUGGGAGGGAGAACAAAAAAGUGAAAUUUCUAGGUACCAGGAUAUUAGCAAAACUGUGAACUUAUUAGUACAUGGCCUUGUAAUACAAGGAAAUGCAACUGGUGCAGCAGCUAACCGAGUGGCUUUAGGCUACUCAUAGUGGGAAGUAUCAUAUACUAGUAUCAUGCAUAUGAUACUAGUUUAUAAUACUACCUUCAUAAUGCAUAGUAUCAGAGAGUAGUAUCAUAAAUUAUCUUAUUUAUUGUCAUUCAUGACACAAAGUACUCCCUCCGUUCCACAAUGUAGUGCCUAUAGAUUUUUUCGAAAGUCAAACAUUACAAAUUUUGACCAUAUUUAUGGAGAAAAGUAGGUACAUCUAGAAUACCAAAUGCACAUCAUUGGAUACAUCAUAAGUUAUAUUUUCAGAAUGUACAUUUGGUCAAAGUUGACAAAGUUUGACUUUCAGAAAAAUCUAUAGACACUACAUUGUGGAAUGGAGGGAGUAGCAUACCAUUUAAUAUGAUACGGUAUCUACCUAUGUUACUCUAACCCUCUCUUUCUUCUUUAAUUCUCUACCACAUCAGCAUGUUUGCUAUUCCCAAAUGCAUGAUACUAGCUAAGAUACCACCAUUAGAAGCCUGUGUACAAGCUCGUAACCAAGGGCGAGAUCUUGCUGGCGAAGGUAACGAAAUUAUCGUUGCAAAUGGGGUCCUGAACUAGCCACGCGGGAUCCAAAGCUGCUCGAAGCACAAGACUUUGCCACCGUGCAUACAUCCAUGCAUGCACAUGCGUGUGUCUGCAGCACCAUUAAUGAAGUCAACUCAUCGACGAAUACGAGUAACCUCGAUCGAUGCCCUAAUGGAAAAAGAUUACCAUAUUAAACAAGGGUUUUGUACUAGCGCCCUGCCGUCUGCCGAUACACAGUGAGUGACGCUGAGCUAACGUUGGAGCAGCUAGCCCUAGCCGAAUGCCACACCGCACAUGCACGGCAGCAACACCGAUGAAGCCCUUCUCGCGUAGCCUCCAGUGGGACCUGGACGCCGCAGUCGACGACGAUGACGGCAAGCAGCACUUCGCCGACGACGGCGAUGGCAAGCAGAACACCGAGAGAGGCCUCCGGCGGCCGUCCCGGCUCUUCUACCUCGCGCUCCUCUACACCGUCUUCUGGGCCCUGGUAUUCUACCACCACUUCUCCACGAGCGUGCAACAAUCAGGCGGCGCGGCGGUGGCAGCGCCCACCGCGCUCCAGCUCAAGCCGUCGGCGUUCUUCUCGGCGUCUCGCUUCUUCCGCCGGGACCCGUGCACCGGCCGGUACGUGUACAUGUACGACCUGCCGCCGCGGUUCAACGCCGACCUCGUCCGCCAGUGCGGCCGGGUCUCGGCCUCCUCCGACGUGUGUAAGGACGUGUCCCACGACGGGUUCGGCCCGCCCAUCACGGGCGGCGGCGAGGAAGGGUCGCUGCCGGAGCGGGGCGCCUACGACACCGACCAGUUCAUGCUGAGCAUCAUCUUCCACGUCCGGAUGCGGCGGUACGAGUGCCUCACGGCCGACCCCGCCGCCGCCGCCGUGGUGUACAUCCCGUUUUACGCCGGCCUGGACGCGGCGAUGCACCUGGGUAACAAAGAUCUGGCGGUGCGGGACGCCCUGUCUCGGGACCUGAUGGACUGGCUGGCGCGGCGGCCAGAGUGGCGCGCCAUGGGCGGACGCGACCACUUCCUCGUCUCCGGGCGGGGAACAUGGGACUUCCUCCGCAGUCCGGACUCAACCGGCUGGGGUAACACGCUCAUGACCUACGACCUGGCCAUCCGCAACGCCACGUUCCUCAACACCGAGGCCAGCGCGCGGCACGGCAACGACUUCGCCGUGCCGUUCCCGUCGCACUUCCACCCCUCCUCCGACGCCGAGAUCACCGGCUGGCAGGACCGCAUGCGCCGGCUGGACCGCGCGUGGCUCUGGUGCUUCGCCGGCUGGCCCCGUCCCCGUGGCAACGGCAUGGGGCCCGAGCGCGCCGAGCUCAUCGAGCAGUGCCGAAACUCCAGCCGCUGCUCUCUGCUCGGCAAGCUCAACCACUACGUGCCCGGCCACGCCAUGCAGCUGCUCGAGAGCGCCCAGUUCUGCAUGCAGCCGCGCGGCGACGGGUACACGCGCAAGUCCACCUUCGACUCCAUCCUCUCCGGCUGCAUCCCGGUCUUCUUCCACCCCGUCUCCGCCUACCUUCAGUACACCUGGCACCUGCCCAGGGACUACCGGAGCUACUCCGUGUUCAUCCCUCACCGCGACGUGGUCGACCGGAACGUCAGCAUCGAGGAGGUGCUGCGUAAGAUACCGCCGGAGAAGGUGGCGCGGAUGCGGGAGCGGGUCAUCCAGCUUAUACCCACUGUGAUGUACCGGCACCCGGCGGCCAAGGGGGUUACGUUCAAAGACGCGUUCGACGUCGCCCUUGACCGUGUCGUCGACCGGGUGGCCAAGCGCCGGCGCGCGGCGGCCGAGGGACGGGAGUACGUGGACAGCGUCGACGGAGCUGAUAGCUGGAAGUACGACUUGCUAGAGGAUGGGCAGACCAAGGUAGGUCCCCAUGAGUUUGAUCAAUAUCUGUAACCGCGCGCAGAUUAGUUUACUCCAGUACUUCGUUCUUUUUUUGAACUGAUUUACAUGGGUGGUUUUUUUUAGAUAGAUUUACUUUUUUUUUUAGUAGAGAUGGAAAACAAGAAAAUGUUUUGGUUGAUUCUAUCCAAGCCAUACGAUGCAAAUUCAAGGAAUGUCAUCCUUUUACUGUUCAUCUUCAACCUCGUGCACCUCCUCUUUUUCCUUCCAUAGAGUGGGCAGAAUUUGCUAAUGUGUUUGGGCAUAAUAAAGAGGAGGCAAGAAUUGCAAGUUCCCGGGGAGUCUCUAGGAACUUAUUGUUCAUGAUCCUGAGACUUUGAGGGAAAAAGUUGAAAUCCUGGUUGAGUUGCGUAAUAUAUAUGUAUGCUGAUGAGGAACUUCGUUGGUUUGAAAUGACUAGUGAGAGAUGGUUGCUCCAAGGGGAUGAUAAUAGUGCUUACUUUCAUUAAUUAGCUAAUGCUAGCAAAAGAAAAAGAAUUGAUCACUUUCUUGAAUGUAGUGAUGGUCUGAUUGAGGGUACUGAUGAUUUGAUUAAUCAUGCAAUUGCUUAUUAUGAGAACCUUUUUGGUCCUGCUCCUGGUAAUCUCUUUCCUAGAUCUCCGGACUUGUGGGGUGACAAUAAGAAAAUUAGUGAAGAUGGCAAUGCUGCUCUGACUAGACCUUUAUAAAUGCCUUGUUUGCUAUGGACUCUAAUAGGGCCCCUGGACCUAACAAAUUCCCCAUUGAGUUUUAUCAACACUGCUGGGAGUGGUUAAGGACGGUUGGAUCCAAGAAUUAUGCUUUGUUAUAAUAUGCAAGAAUAAACAUACAACAGUGAAAAAAUAAAAAAAAAUCUAUUAGUGGCAUUGGUAUUUGAUUCAUGAGGUCUCUACUUCUUAAAGUCAAAAUAAUGAAUUUUUGUAAGAAAAAAAUGAAUUUUCAACGUUGGGAUUACCCUUUAAAAAUAAAAUAGACAAAAUUUACACACAAUUUUACGCAAGAAUAGCGGUUUUCAUAAUAUGAAAGAAUUAACUUAUAAUAGUGGAAUUUUUGCAAAGAAGAAGAUUUUCUAAGAAGCAAUUAAUUAGUGGUGUUGGUAUUAAUCUUCAAGAAAAAUUAGAUGAAAUAAAAACUAAAACAAAUCAAUAUAAUUAAGUUUUCCAAGGAGGAAUGAAUUAGUCGCACGGUAUUACCCUCUAAGAAGAAAGAGAAGGGAGAAAUAAGCAAAUCAUUACAAAACAUGCAUGCAAUUUGCAGAGAUAUUGCUUUUUUAUAAUAUGCAAGAAUAAGCAUAUAAUAGUGAAAUUUAGCAAAAAAAAAGGAGUUUCUUAAGAAGGACUGAAUUAGUGGCAAUGCUAGCUACUACUUUAAAGAAGAAAGAAAAUGGGAUGAAAACUUAAACAAAAUAGAAAUAAUGAAGUUUUCUAAGACAAUAAACAAAUAAUGAAUUGUUUAAAAAAGUAGAUAUAAAUCAUGCAUUUUUAUAAUAUACAAGAAUAAGAAUAUAAUAAUGGAAGUUAACAAAAAAGGGAAGUUUCAUAUAAAGAAAUGAUUUUUUGCAUUGGUAUUACCAUUAAAGAAGAAAGGAACUAAAAUAAAACAAAAAAUGGAUAUUUAUAAAAGGAAUGAAUUUGUUGCUUUGGUAUUACCCUUUAAGAAAAAAUGAAAGAAAAAUAAAAAAAAUCAAAAUAAUGAGAUUUUCUAAAGAAGAAAGCAUGAACUAGUGACAUCGGUAUUACUCUUUAAGGGAAAAAAUAAAAAUAAUGAGGUUUUCGAACGAAGAAUGAAUUAGUGGCAUCAGUAUUACCCUUCAAGAAAAAUAAUCAAAAUAAUGAGGAUUUUUAAGGAAGAAUGGAUUAUUGGCAUUGGUAUUACCCUUUAAGAACUAUGGAAAUAAUAAAAUUUAAAGUAAACGAUGACAAAUUUGACAAUAUACCAAAAAUAUGCAAGAAUAUACAUAUAAUAGUGAAACUUCCAAAAAUCAAAUCCUAUGAAAGAAUGAAUUUGUGGCUGUAUACGCUUGAAGAAGAAAGAAAAUGAAAUGAUAAAUAAAAAAAUUAAAUAAGGAAAAAUGAACUAGUGGCAUUAGUACUACGCUUUAAGAAGAAAUAUAACGAUUUUCUAAAAAAAACUUGCACACAACUUUGCUCUAAAAUUGCAUUUUCCUGUUUGUAUAUGCAGACAAUAAUCAUUUAAUAGCGUAAUUUUUGUAGAUAUUUCGUAAUAUUUGUGUGUAUACAUUUACACUCAUCCAAUGUAUAUGUUUGUAUUACUCUUUGAGAGUUCAGCUAUCGUUGAGUCACUUGUGAGCUUAUCUGGAACCUCUUUUAUUUGUUCCCAUUGUUUGUGGCGAUUAUGUAUGAAUUUAAGGGCCUCAAUUUAAGGCUAGGCAUGCACCUUUUAUUAUCUACAAAAGUUAGAGUCUUCAUGAGGAGACACGUGUGAGCAGAUCUCCCUCGUUGAUGCCUCUUUCGCACCCAGGGGCGGACCCACGUUCAUGGGAGUGGGGGCCUAGGACCCCACUCAAAAUAUGAAACUUCAAUGAUAUUUCAGAAAAAAAAUUGCCAAAACUAUGUGAAUUUGUACAAAGUGUGGCCCCGCUCCUAUAGUUUGCCCUCACUUAGAAUAAUUUCUAGGUCCGCCCCUGUUCGCACCUAGCUAGCUUGUUUGAUCUUAAUAAAAAAGGGUUGUUCCUGAUACAUUCUACUAAAAUGAGUGUUGCAAAGAAAUUGAGGUUCCUAGUAAUUUUACAAGAAAACUCAAACUUGUGAUGUAAUAGUCCCGCGCGGCUGGCUGGUGUUGUUCAUUAUUUUAUUUUAUUUGAGACAUGGUGUUGUUCAUUAUGUUGCUACUUAUACUUUCUUUUUGCUUUCUAGUUUGAGUAUCUCUAGCCUUGUUUUGCUUUCCUUGCCCUAUUUCAUUGUACAAACUAGCGGUUUCUUAAUGGAAAUCAACGAGAGAGCUCAAAGUUUCAACAAAGAUCCGGGUUCAUUGGAAGCUCACACUAGAGGAUUCCAUCUCAUCGCUAAUUCUCUUCAUUUUAUUUUCCUUUGGUCAUAUGACUAUAAGAUUAUGGAGAACCCAUCUUUAAGAAACCUCCAAAACAUACAUAGGGCGGCAUACAACCGAAGUUAGGCUACGACCAGUUCCAGUUAUUACAAAAUAUAGGAAGUAGCUCAAACAAAGUAUCAUGGGACACUUCUAGCAAAGGUCGCAAAACAUCUCCCAAACACAACCAGCAUCUCCCUCUGGAGGCUAGAUACCUUCUUGUCGCCGGACAAUCAUCUGUCUACAAUAUUGCCCAGGCACCAAAGUGACUAAACAUGUUGUUGAAGGUAACAAAAAAAGGGACAUUAUGGAACUGUUGUUCAAAACACACAACGUAGCCAACUUUCCGAAACAUUGCAGCAUUGCCAAGUAGUUAAAUUAACCUUUUACAAAAAAAGAUCCACUAUGAUUAUUUAAAAAAUGGUCUCGUAUCUAGCGAUCUUAUAAUUACGGAAAAAAGAAACUAGAGAAAGCGGUCUUUUGCGAAUUUACCACUUAUAUUAGUCAAUAAAAUAAAAUUUUACAAUAUCAAAGCAUGGGAUGAACGACGUCAUCUUACACAUACCCUAAGCAAACCGUUCUGAGCCUGAGUUCUACCAAAAUUUGCAAGGGAGUGCCUUAAAUAAUUUUGAUAACCUCAACUAUGAGUAAUACAACUAUGGGGCCAUGUGUUCUUGCAUUUCAAGGAUAAAAAUAAGUACCAUGAGCAAUCUCAUUUCUUGCUUUUCACGAAGUUCACAACUUCCAUGUAGCCACUCUUAAUAAGGAUUGGCAGGCUGCUCCAUUGGAGUGCUUGGGCAGGUCCUUCCAUCAAGGUUGAUAAAUCGGACACCAAUACAUAUCGUUACAUGAUAACAAAUGCCAACAUGAGGUGAAGAUGAUGUGCCCUGAGAGAUCUCGAAGAACCAUGCAUGUUCAUGAGGUUCCGUCUUCAGCAUACAAACCAUCCGUGUUCAGUUUAACCUAGCCGACUUGACAUGGAGCCCAAAUAUACAUGGAAGAAGAAAAUAUCACUUUCACCACAAACACCUCGGUUAAAUUGAUACAAGAUGGAAGUUGGGAUACUAUGCAAUUCAAAAUAACUCUCGUGGAUAAAAAUGACGAAAAAUGUGUUCAAUAUUUUUUCAAAUAUAUGUUAAAAAAAUUGAGUGAAAACUGCAAUAUGCGUUAAAUGAUUUGUAUGAUUGAGUGGAAUGGUUGAAAUGUAUGGCAACUGUCUUUCGAAAUUUAUUUAUUUCGGUUAUAUUUCAUUAAAUUGCAUAAAUAUGUAAUAUGCAUUUUUAAAUUAUUUCACUCAAUCUUGUUCUCCGUUAAAUAGUUGAAAAAUGUGCUAAUUGUUUUCCAAAAUAUAGUGAAACAACAUGAAUAUUUAUUUUAUAAUAUAUGUGUUCCGUUUGAACAUUUCAAUCGUCUUAAAAUAUGUGUUAAAUAUUUUCUAAAAUUGAUCAAUACAAUAAUAGAAAUGUCUAUAUUUUUAAAAUAAUUAAAAUAUGUGUGAAAUAACUAAAAUACAAUUGAAAUGUAUGUGCAAUACUUCUUCUGAAAUGAGUGAAACAACUGAAAUAUGUGUUCAAUUUUUUUUUCAAAAUUUGAGUAACAUAAUUGAAAAUGUUAGUUCAGUUUUUUUAACACAUAUGUGAAAAAAUAAACAUAUAUUUGAAUCUCUGUGCAAAAUUUUCCGAAACUGAGUGAAGUAAUUGAAAUAUAUGUGAAAUUUUUAAUCCUGGGUGAAAUAAUCUUAUGUAUUUUAUAAAGUUAAGAAAAUAAGUGAAAUAUGUAUUUAAUAUCAUUUGAGACAAUGCAAUGUUUAUGAAACUGAUUUCAAAGAUUAUUCAAAUCGUAAAAUUAAAACUGGUUGAAAUGCAUCCAAGAUUGAUCUUCCUUCUGAACGUCUUAGUACUGCGAAUUCAAAUAUAUAUAUACAAACUUUGAACUAGUUUGAUAAAUGAUUUGUAGGAUUGAGUGGAAUAGUGUAAAUGUAUGGGAAAUGUUUUUCGAAAUUAAUUUAUUUUGGUUAUAUUUCAAUAAAUUGCAUAAAGAUGUAGUAAGUAUUUUAAAUUAUUUCACUCAAUCUUGUUCUCCGUGGAAUAACUGGAAUAUGUGUUAAAUAUUUUCCAAAAUAGAGUGAAACAACAUGAAUAUUUAUUUUAUAAUAUGUGUUCAGUUUCAUCAUUUCAAUUGUCUUAAAUAUUUGUUAAAUAUUUUCUAAAAAUGAUGAAUGAAAUACUCCCUUCAUUUACUUAUACAAGGCCACUAUAGAAUAUACAUUUUGCAUCUAUACAAGGCCUCCAACAAUAAGCGAGGACAAAUUAAGAAUAUAUUCUCGUACUAGCAACCUAUUUUGUACUUCUAUGCAUGUAGUCAUAAUGACAGUCAGUUACUUCCUCCACUCAGUUUUCUUCCAUGCAUGCGGCGUAUUAAUGAUCUCAAUGAACGAAAAGAAAAGCUAUCUUGCGAAGCAGUCAUUUUACAUUGGUGUCUGUAAUAUGAGUUUGUGGCCUUGUAUGUAAAAAUAUAGGGAGUAAGAGAAAUGUGCGUAUUUUUUAAAAUAAUUAAAAUAUGUGUGAAAUAAUUGAAAUAUAAUUGAAAUGUAUGUGCAAUACAACUUCUGAAAUUUAGUGAGAUAACUGAAAUAUUUGUUCAUUUUUUCCCGAAUGUUGAGUGAAAUAAUUGAAAAUGUGUGUUCAGUUUUAUAAUGCAUGUGAAAAAAUAAACAUACAUCUGAAUGUAUGUGCAAUAUGUGUUAAUUUUUAAAUAUUGGGUGAAAUAAUCGGAUGCGUUAUUAUUUUUUCUGGAGCUGAGUAAAUAAGUGAAAUGUGUGUUUAAUAUCAAUUGAGACAGUGUAAUGUUUAUGAAACUGGUUUCAAAGAUUAUUAAAUAGUGAAACUAAAACUAGUUCAAAUACAUCCAAGAUUGAUCUUGCUUCUGAAGACCUUCUCGCUGUGGAUUGAAAUAUAUCCAUACAAAGUUUGAACAAGAAAAUUAUUAAUCACCCAAAAGAUCCCUCUGCAUGCAACUGUGAGUUCCCAGUUUCCCUCUUCCACACUCUCUCACUUUGACCGGACGAAUCUAGCAAAGGUAAGUACUAGUAUAGAUCCGGUACUGUUCAUGUAUUGGCAGGUUGUGUCAGUGGUAUUCGAAUAUUAAGCGAAAGGUCACAUCUACCCCUAUGUUUAUUUUUACUCCACAUACAAGAUUUAUCUCAAAUCAAAAUUAGUAAAGUUUGACCAAAUUUAUUUAAAAAAAUCAACAUCUAUAAUAGUAAAGUUAUACAAUAUAAAAAAUAAUUCCAUGACAUCUAACGAUGACUUUGAUUUUGUAUUGUGAUGAAUGUUGAAAUUUUAUUUAUAAAAUUAUUUAAAGUUUAACUCCACACAAAUCUGAUACGCAGUAAAAAGGAAACAGAGGGCAAAUAGCACUGAUCACAGCUAAAGGUGCAUGCGUCUGUGAGCCUGAGAAACGUCGAAGACAGUGUAAACAGGCCGGGAUCGGAUCCAAAGCUGCUCGACGGUUCCAAGAUGGCCAAGUCUCCGGCAUCUCGCCACAGGUUAAUUAGUAAUUAAACUGCGUAUAGGCGCGCGCGAUCCAAAGCUGCUCGAAGGAUCGUACAGGAGAAUUCUUUUGGCGUUCGUAGUGCAGUGCAGUGCCAUUAAUGAAGUCAACUCGACGAGCAAUACGAGUAACCUCGAUGAAUGCCCUAGCUAAUGAAAUUAUAUUGCACCGUACCUGCCGACACUUACUGCUCGCAUACACUGACACUCACUGGAGCAGCUGCAUGCCACAGCAUCAGCACGGCAGCACACCGCCGAUGAAGCCCUUCUCGCGGAGCCUCCAGCGAGAUCUGGACGCCGCGGCCGAAUACGACGACGAUGGCAAGCAGUACUCCGCCGUCGACGGCAGCGGCAAGCAGAACCCCGAGAGGGGCGCACGGCGGCCGUCCCGGCUCUUCUACCUCGCGCUCCUCUACGUCGUCUUCUGGGCGCUGGUGUUCUACCACCACUUCUCCACCAGCAUGCAACAGUCGGUCAGCGCGGCGGUGGCAGCGCCCGCCGUGCUCCAGCUCAAGCCGUCGGCCUUCUUCUCGGUGCCCCGCAUCUUCCGCCGCGACCCGUGCGCCGGCCGGUACGUGUACAUGUACGACCUGCCGCCUCGGUUCAACGCCGACCUCGUCCGCGAGUGCCGCCGGAUCUCGGGCUCCACCGACGUGUGCAAGGACGUGGCCAACGACGGGUUCGGCCCGCCCAUCAAGGGCGGCGGCGAGGCCGGGUCGCUGCCGGAGAGCGGGGCCUACGACACCGACCAGUACAUGCUCGGCCUGAUCUUCCACGCCCGGAUGCGGCGGCACGAGUGUCUCACGGCCGACCCCGCCGCCGCCGCCGUGGUGUACGUCCCGUUCUACGCCGGUCUCGACUCGGCGAUGCACCUGGGGAGCAAAGACCUCGCGGCGCGGGACGCCCUGUCGCGGGACGUGGUGGACUGGCUGGCGCAGCGGCCAGAGUGGCGCGCCAUGGGCGGGCGCGACCACUUGCUGGUGUCCGGGCGGGGCACGUGGGACUUCAUCGUCAACCCCGACGCCGUCGGCUGGGGCAACGCGCUCAUGACCUUCCCGGCCAUCCUCAACGCCACGUUCCUCACCACCGAGGCCAGCCCGUGGCACGGCAACGACUUCGCCGUGCCGUUCCCGUCGCACUUCCACCCGUCGUCCGACGCCGAGGUCACCGGCUGGCAGGACCGCGUGUACGAGAUGGACCGCCCGUUUCUCUGGGGCUUCGCCGGCGGGGCCCGCGACGGCAGCCAGCGCACGGUGCGCGCCCAGAUCAUGGAGCAGUGCGGCAGGUCGAGCCGGUGCGCGCUGCUCGGCGUGCCGGCGCCGGGGCACUACGCGCCGGGCCGCGCCAUGCGGCUGCUGGAGAGCGCCGAGUUCUGCGUGCAGCCGCGCGGCGACGGGUACACGCGCAAGUCCACCUUCGACACCAUCCUCGCCGGCUGCAUCCCGGUCUUCUUCCACCCCGUCUCCGCCUACCUCCAGUACAUAUGGCACCUGCCGAGAGACCACCGGAGCUACUCCGUCUUCAUCCCGCACGGCGACGUGGUCGAGCGGAACGCCAGCAUCGAGGAGGUGCUGAGCAGGAUACCGCCGGCGAAGGUGGCGCAGAUGCGGGAGCAGGUCAUCCGGCUCAUCCCCACCGUGCUGUACCGGCACCCGGCGGCCAAGGGCGUGACGUUCAAGGACGCGUUCGACGUCGCUCUGGAGCGCGUCAUCGACCGUGUGGCGAAGCGCCGGCGCGCCGCCGCCGAGGGACGGGAGUACGUGGACAGCAUCGACGGGAAAUUUAGCUGGAAGUACGACCUGGCACAGGAUAGGGAGAAAAUGUUGGCUCCGCACGAGUUUGAUCCAUACAUCAACACGUAACAGCAUAUUUACUUUUGUUUGUCCAACUAUAAAUCAGUCAGCUUCAAAUCACCUUUUGAUUUGGACUUUUUUUAUGAAAAGGGGAAUAUAUAAAUAUCAAGCAGAUUUUGAAUUUUUUUUAUUGAUUUGGACUUUGGAGUAGUGAGUAUUACUUUCUCACUCAAUAAAGUGCUCACAAGAAACCAUGCAUGGCUAUUUUCCUCUGCUAACUGUUUAGGGUGUGUUUGACAGCAAAGUACUUAUUGCAUAAACUAUAGUAUUGAAAAACUGCAGUAUUUUUGUCUAUAGGUAUUACACUGUAGCGGGUUUGCUGUCUGAACCCUGUAGCAAGAUGUACUGUUUUCGUACUGUAGCAUUUAUACUGUUUAUGUUCUAUAGUAAGAAAUUUGAGCCAUUCAUACUAGAUCUGAAGGCUGAUAGGUGGCCCAAAGGUAGGAUACUGUAGCACCCUACCGUGCCUUCACCACGGUAGAGGAGCCAGUUCCGAGCAAUCUGGGCAUGAGGUGGCCAGGGGGCCGACCUGAUGCACGCACAACGCGUACGAGGAGAGGAGAAGCGCAAGUGGGAGUGGGAAGACACCAUUUUUCUUUCCAUUGCCUUCUCUUGGCUUGUUCCAUGGUUGCCGAUCUUCAAGGCGGCGGUGACGGCUUGGGAGCGAGGAAGGUGAGAGCAACUCCAACGGGCCGAUUCAAACCGACGUCGAUUUUGUCCCUUUUUUGUCUGUUUGGGUCGGUCAGGCGAACACGGUCGGUCAGGCGGACACGAACGUCCGCUUCCGCGUUUGGGUCGGCGCAUGCGUCCAACGCUGGCCCGAUGCAUUUUGACGGCGGGAGGAAAAAAAAGAAUACAUGCAUAUUUGAAAUAAAAACAAUAUUAAUUAAACAUUAAAGCCGGCCACGAAGACUGGCGAGAGUCCACGCGUCCAUAUUUGCAUUAAAAAAAAUUAGAAACAAACUAAACUACAAGUCAGCGCGCUGCCCUAGGCGUCGUCGUCGUCGUCCUCGGGGUCCGUGAGGUCGAUGUGCAUCGGCGCAGGGCCGGCCCAGGGGAACGCCGUGUUCCAGAGGGCGUUCAUGUCGGGCGCAGGCUGUGCCGCGGCCUGGCGCGCCUCCUCCUCGGCCUCGGUGUCGCGCUCGAGCAUCUCGAGGUACUCGCCGUGGCGGCGCUCCUCGGCCAGCUGUCGCUGGCGCCACUGUUCGAGGUACGCCGCCUCCUGCGCCGACGUCACCCCCAACCGGAUCGAUGGCGCGCUGACCCACUCGCGCACUACUCCCGUCCAGGAGUAGCACUCGAUGGGGGACGGCUCCGGCUCGGCUUUGACAGGGGAAGGUGGGGCCACCGGCGGCAGGACGCAGUCGCCCGCCGCGGAGAGGGCCAUGGCCGCCUCGUACGCCACCUCCUCUUCCUCGGCCGCCGCCGCCCUGCGCAGCUCGUCCUCCUUGCUCUCCCGGUAGACCGCCGCAAGGGCCGCCUAGUAGGCGGCCUCCGCUGCCUGGUCCUCCUCGCGGGCGACGAGCGGGGGCGGCGGCAUGGUGCGGUCGACUUCGCGAACUCCGCGUCGCCUCGCCUCCUCGUGCUCGAAGGUGAACCAGCGAGCCCAGUUGGGUGAGUCGGUUGCGUAGGCGGGGUCGCGGCGCUGCUCCGGCGUCAGGAGCAUCCGCCUGUGCCGCACCUUCCCCGCGUGCGCCCUAGCCGACCGUGGCGCCGCCGGCACUGGGAUCCUCUCCGGAUUCAGGUGCCAGUCGUACGACAGUGUGGCGUCGGGGUACAGGAGAGGCACGCGGUGCUGCCAGUGCUACUCCACCUGGUGCACUGGCACGUUGACGCGUUGCCUCGGCCGGCGAGCUGGCGCCGGCAGAGGCGGGAGGUACUCCGAGGGAAAAGGAAUGGCGGGGGGGGACUUGCCCUUGGCCUUGCUGCUGCCAGCGCCAGAGAAGAGCCCCAUCUGGGUUUGCUGGGGUGGCUAGGGUUUGCCGGCGACGGGGGAGCAGAGUGUGGCUCGAUGGGGACGGGGGCUGGCUGGAAGCGGAUGAGGACGGCCCCACCUCACGGUCGGCUUAAAAAAUGAUGGCCGCCGUCGCUGACGCGUGGGCCUGAGAUCAUAAAUUAAGCCGACCCGGUAGGUCGCGGGCAGUUGGACAACCGCCAGGUGGGGACGCGGCGGACACCGAGAAGGCGCGCGUGGCGUCCGUUCCGCGUCCGCCCCGACGCAUUUGGGGCGCAAAUUUGGGCCGCAAAUGCGUCGCCGCGGACGCAAAGCGGACUCGAUUUGGGUUUGGGUCCACGCGUUGGGCCUCCUCUUUUGUCCAAGCCGACUCAAACGGACGGCGGCGAACGAAAUGGGUCGCCCCAUUGGAGUUGCUCUGAUAACCAACAGUCUCGUUUUCUUCGCAUGCUCUGCUUUUAAAAAAGAUGUCUGGGGUUCUUUUUUUAAUGAAGAGAAAAUACCAUGGUUUUGACAAUACCACAGUAUUAAUACUAAAGUAUUUUGUGGUUGCCAAACAGCUCACCGUAAAUUAAACCAUGGUAUUUUUGAAAACAGCAGUAUUCUCAUAAUACUUGGAAAAAACUGAUCUAUCAAACGGGCCCUUAUUUGUGCAGUUUUGCUAUUUGUCACGCGCCUCAAAAAAUUUCAUGUGCCAGUCGAUUCCGCACAGCACAAGGCAGAAAACAGGGAUGAGGAGAGGAGCGACAACGACGAGCGUCGGCCACGCUGAGGCCGAGCUCGGACCUUGCCGGAGACGAUGACGUGAGCGGUAGCGAGCUGCGGCAUCUCAGGUGGAGGUGAGGAAGAAACUUAAUGGGGAGGGAGGGGUUGGGGUGUGCAAGGGGUUGAUCAUCGAGACGGCACUAGAGGGAUAGUCGGGGCGAUGGCUAGCAUAGCGUUGGGCGAGGUCGAGCGGAGGGCGGGCUGGCGAGGCGGCAACAACCGCCAACCACGGGGGCGCAGGCGAGCGGUUAGGCCUGAGUAGAUCGCGGGGAAGGAGAAAGAACAUGCGAGGGAAAGAAGAUGAAUAAUAGUGACGCACUCCUAACCGUUUGUAUAUUGAUGUGAUGGCCUUAAAUAUAAGUCACUCAUGAGUAGUUUUUUCUGAUGGACUAAAAUAUAAGUGACUCAUGCGAGGAGAUUUUUUCAUUUGCAAACCGUAAUCCCGUGGAAAAUAUAAGUCACCCAAAUGAUGGUGGCCUAAAAUAUAAGUCACCGGGUGAAAUCAUCUUGUGCACACUGAAAUCCCAUGGAAAAUCAACAUCAUCAUUUGGCGGACGGUGAGACCUGGGAAGCCCAAACCGGGAAACAAAGAACUGAAGCAAUGAAAUCUAUAUCAUCUAGGUAAGAGGAGUGGAAGGAAUAGAUUGUGUUCACCGUUAAUUUGAGAAUGGUGGUAGAGCUCCAAGAUUCCAAUAGAUGGCUCGUUGUGUUGGGGAAUUAGCACAUAAAUGCACUCGUGGUUAACUGAAAACUGCAACGGAAACAAGUAAUCUCAGCAUCACAUCAUGUACUAACUCAAGGAUCGUUGCUUAGCAUAGAAGGAAACAUAUGCAGUAGCAUAUAUGGAGGCAGAAAAUGUUACUCAGCAGGCAAGACACUCCUCAGGCUAGUGUCUUGUGGUAGGAGUAAGUUUCUGAACAGCAGCAAGCAUCAACAAGGAGACACCAGAUUUUUACGUGGAAACCCCCCAACUCGAGGGGAAAAACCACGGGCCGAAGCCACCCAAAUCCUCUUCCACUAUUAUCAAAUGUGGGAUACAACAAGUUCUUCUCUAGACAGCACUAGAGGAUCUCAUACAUCAAGAUUUCUGAAUUAUGGAUGAACACAACAAGAUUUGGGGCUCACGAACUAGGGAUUGGAACAUUUUCACCAAAGAUGGUGGAACCGGAGCUUGAAGGAGACAAGGUAGUGGAUCUGGACCAUCACAACCUUGGGGAGGAGCUCCCUUGCUUCUUCCUUCAAUCUUCCUCUUCUUCCCUUGCUCUCUUGGUUUUUCUCUCUUCUUCUCCCUUGGAGGAUGAACUGAUUUUCGUCACUCUUGGUGGUGGCUGCUGGAUGGAGGGUAAUGAAGGAAAUAUGCCCUAGAGGCAAUAAUAAAGUUAUUAUUUAUUUCCUUAUAUCAUGAUAAAUGUUUAUUAUUCAUGCUAGAAUUGUAUUAACCGGAAACAUGAUACAUGUGUGAAUACAUAGACAAACAGAGUGUCACUAGUAUGCCUCUACUUGACUAGCUUGUCGAUCAAAGAUGGUUAUGUUUCCUAGCCAUAGACAAAGAGUUGUCAUUUGAUUAAUUGGAUCACAUCAUUAGGAGAAUGAUGUGAUUGACUUGACCCAUUCCGUUAGCUUAGCACUCGAUCGUUUAGUAUGUUGCUAUUGCUUUCUUCAUGACUUAUACAUGUUCCUAUAACUAUGAGAUUAUGCAACUCCCGUUUACUGGAGGAACACUUUGUGUGCUACCAAACGUCAUAACGUACUGGGUGAUUAUAAAGGUGCUCUACAGGUGUCUCCGAAGGUACUUGUUGGGUUGGCGUAUUUCGAGAUUAGGAUUUGUCACUCCAAUUGUCGGAGAGGUAUCUCUGGGCCCACUCGGUAAUGCACAUCACUAUAAGCCUUGCAAGCAUUGUAACUAAUGAGUUAGUUGCAGGAUGAUGUAUUACGGAACGAGUAAAGAGACUUGCCGGUAACAAGAUUGAACUAGGUAUUGAGAUACCGACGAUCGAAUCUCGGGCAAGUAACAUACCGAUGACAAAGGGAACAACGUAUGUUGUUAUGCGGUUUGACCGAUAAAGAUCUUCGUAGAAUAUGUGAGAGCCAAUAUGAGCAUCCAGGUUCCGCUAUUGGUUAUUGACCGGAGACGUGUCUCGGUCAUGUCUACAUUGUUCUCGAACCCGUAGGGUCCGCACGCUUAAAGUUCGAUGACGGUUAUAUUAUGAGUUUAUAUUUUUUGAUGUACCGAAGGUAGUUCGGAGUCCCGGAUGAGAUCGGGGACAUGGCGAGGAGUCUCGAAAUGGUCGAGACGUAAAGAUCGAUAUAUUGGACGACUAUAUUCGGACAUCGGAAAGGUUCCGAGUGAUUCGGGUAUUUUUCGGAGUACCGGAGAGUUACGGGAAUUCGCCGGGGAGUAUAUGGGCCUUAUUGGGCUUUAGGGGAAAGAGAGAGGAGAGGCUGCGCCCCCCCCCCAAGGCCUAGUCCGAAUUGGACUAGGGGGAGGGGCUGCGCCCCCUCCUUCCUUCUCUUCUCUCUCCCCUUUCCUUGACUCCUACUCCUACACUACUUGGAGGGGGGGGGGGAAUCCUACUCCUGGUGGGAGUAGGACUCCUCCUAGGGCGCGCCAUAGAGAGGGCCGGCCCUCCCCCUCCUCCACUCCUUUAUAUACGGGGAGGGGGCACCCCUUGGAGACACAACAAUUGAUCCCUUGGAUCUCUUAGCCGUGUGCGGUGCCCCCCUCCACCAUAAUCCACCUCGGUCAUUCGGUGCUUAGGCGAAGCCCUGCGUCGGUAGAACAUCAUCAUCGUCACCACGCCGUCGUGCUGACGGAACUCUUCCUUAAAGCUCAGCUGGAUCGGAGUUCGAGGGACGUCAUCGAGUUGAACGUGUGCUGAACUCGGAGGUGUCGUGCGUUCGGUACUUGAUCGGUCGGAUCGUGAAGACGUACGACUACAUCAACCGCGUUGUGCUAAUGCUUCCGCUUUCGGUCUACGAGGGUACGUGGACAACACUCUCCCUUCUCAUUGCUAUGCAUCACCAUGAUCAUGUGUGUGCGUAGGAAAUUUUUUGAAAUUACUACGUUCCCCAACAGUGGCAUCCGAGCCUGGUUUUAUGCGUAGAUGUUAUAUGCACGAGUAGAACACAAGUGAGUUGUGGGCGAUAUAAGUCAUACUGCUUACCAGCAUGUCAUACUUUGGUUCGGCGGUAUUGUUGGAUGAAGCGGCCCGGACCGACAUUACGCGUACGCUUACGCGAGACUGGUUUUACCGCCGUGCUAUGCACACAGGUGACUAGCGGGUGUCAGUUUCUCCAACUUUAGUUGAACCGAGUGUGGCUACGCCCGGUCCUUGCGAAGGUUAAAACAGCACCAACUUGACAAACUAUCGUUGUGGUUUUGAUGCGUAGGUAAGAACGGUUCUUGCUCAGCCCGUAGCAGCCAUGUAAAACUUGCAAUAGCAAAGUAGAGGACGUCUAACUUGUUUUUGCAGGGCAUAUUGUGAUGUGAUAUGGUCAAGGCAUGAUGCUAUAUUUUAUUGUAUGAGAUGAUCAUGUUUUGUAACCGAGUUAUCGGCAACUGGCAGGAGCCAUAUGGUUGUCGCUUUAUUGUAUGCAAUGCAAACGCCCUGUAAUGCUUUACUUUAUCACUAAGUGGUAGCGGUAGUCGUAGAAGCAUAAGUUGGCGAGACGACAACGAUGCUACGAUGGAGAUCAAGGUGUCGCGCCGGUGACGAUGGUGAUCAUGACGGUGCUUCGGAGAUGGAGAUGACAAGCACAAGAUGAUGAUGGCCAUAUCAUAUCACUUAUAUUGAUUGCAUGUGAUGUUUAUCUUUUAUGCAUCUUAUCUUGCUUUGAUUGACGGUAGCAUUAUAAGAUGAUCUCUCACUAAAUUAUCAAGGUAUAAGUGUUCUCCCUGAGUAUGCACCGUUGCGAAAGUUCUUCGUGCUGAGACACCACGUGAUGAUCGGGUGUGAUAGGCUCUACAUUCAAAUACAACGGGUGCAAAACAGUUGCACACGCGGAAUACUCAGGUUAAACUUGACGAGCCUAGGAUAUAACAGAUAUGGCCUCGGAACACUGAGACCGAAAGGUCGAGCGUGAAUCAUAUAGUAGAUAUGAUUAACAUAGUGAUGUUCACCAUUGAAACUACUCCAUCUCACGUGAUGAUCGGACAUGGUUUAGUUGAUUUGGAUCACGUGAUCACUUAGAGGAUUAGAGGGAUGUCUAUCUAAGUGGGAGUUCUUAAGUAAUAUGAUUAAUUGAACUUAAAUUUAUCAUGAACUUAGUCCUGGUAGUAUUAGCAUAUCUAUGUUGUAGAUCAAUAGCUCGCGUUUAGCUUCCCUGUUUUAUUUUGAUAUGUUCCUAGAGAAAACUAAGUUGAAAUAUGUUAGUAGCAAUGAUGCGGACUUGGUCCGUGAUAUGAGGAUUAACCUCAUUGCUGCACAGAAGUAUUAUGUCCUUGAUGCACCGCUAGGUGACAGAACUAUUGCAGGAGCAGAUGCAGACGUUAUGAAUGUUUUGACAAAAGCUCGGAAUGAUGACUACUUGAUAGUUUAGUGCACCAUGCUUUACGGCUUAGAAUCGAGGCUUCAAAGACGUUUUUAAAACGUCAUGGAGCAUAUAAGAUGUUCCAAGAGUUGAAAUUAGCAUUUCAGACUCAUGCCCGUAUCGAGAGGUAUGAGACCUAUGACAGUACUUUGCCUAAAAGAUGGAGGAUAAUAGCUCAAUCAGUGAGCAUAUGCUCAGAUUGUCUGGGUACUACAAUCACUUGAAUCAAGUGGGAGUUAAUCUUCCAGAUAAGAUAGUGAUUGACAGAGUUCUCUAGUCACUAUCGCCAAGUUACUAGAACUUCGUGAUGAACUAUAAUAUGCAAGGGAUAACGGAAAUGAUUCCCAAGCUCUUCGUGAUGCUGAAAUCGACGAAGGUAGAAAUCAAGAAAAGCAUCAAGUGUUGAUGGUUGACAAGACCACUAGUUUCAAGAAAAUGGAAAAAGGAAGAAGGGGAACUUCAAGAAGAACGACAAGCAAGUUGCUGCUCAAGUGAAGAAGCCCAAGUCUGGACCUAAGCCUGAGAUUAAGUGCUUCUACUGCAAAGGGACUGGUCACUGGAAGCGGAACUACCCCAAGUAAUUGGCGGAUAAGAAGGAUGGCAAAGUGAACAUAGGUAUAUUUGAUAUACAUGUUAUUGAUGUGUACUUUACUAGUGUUUAUAGCAACCCUUCAGUAUUUGAUACUAGUUUAGUUGCUAAGAGUAGUAACUCGAAACGGGAGUUGCAGAAUGAACAGAAACUAGUUAAGGGUGAAGUGACGAUGUGUGUUGGAAGUAGUUCCAAGAUUGAUAUGAUCAUCAUCGCACACUCCCUAUACUUUCGGGAUUAGUGUUGAACCUAAAUAAGUGUUAUUUGGUGUUUGCGUUGAGCAUGAAUAUGAUUUGAUCAUGUUUAUUGCAAUACGGUUAUUCAUUUAAGUUAGAGAACAAUUGUUGUUUUGUUAACAUGAAUAAAACCUUCUAUGGUCAUACACCCCAACGAAAAUGGUUUGUUGGAUAUCGAUCGUAGUGAUACACAUAUUCAUAAUAUUGAAGCCAAAAGAUGCAAAGUUAAUAAUGAUAGUGCAACUUAUUUAUGGCACUGCCGUUUAUGUCAUAUUGGUGUAAAACGCAUGAAGAAACUCCAUGCUGAUGGGAUUUUGGAAUCACUUAAUUAUGAAUCACUUGAUGCUUGCGAACCAUGCCUUAUGGGCAAGGUGACUAAAACUCUGUUCUCCGGAACAAUGGAGCAAGCAACUGACUUAUUGGAAAUAAUAUAUACUGAUGUAUACGGUCCGAUGAGUGUUGAGGCUCACGGCGGGUAUCGUUAUUUUCUGACCUUCACAGAUGAUUUGAGCAGAUAUGGGUAUAUCUACUUGAUGAAACAUAAGUCUGAAACAUUUGAAAAGUUCAAAGAAUUUCAGAGUGAAGUGGAAAAUCAUCGUGACAAGAAAAAUAAAGUUUCUACGAUCUGAUCGCGGAGAAAAAUAUUUGAGUUACGAGUUUGGUCUUCAUUUGAAACAAUGCGGAAUAGUUUCGCAACUCACGCCAUCUGGAACACCAUAGCGUAAUGGUGUGUCCGAACGUCAUAACCGUACUUUAUUGGAUAUAGUGCAAUCUAUGAUGUUUCUUACCGAUUUACCACUAUAGUUUUGGGGUUAUGCAUUAGAGACAGCUGCAUUCACGUUAAAUAGGGCACCAUCAAAAUUCGUUGAGACGAUGCCUUAUGAACUGUGGUUUGGCAAGAAACCAAAGUUGUCGUUUCUUAAAGUUUGGGGCUGUGAUGCUUAUGUGAAAAAGCUUCAACCUGAUAAGCUCGAACCCAAAUCGGAGAAAUGUGUCUUCAUAGGAUACCCAAAGGAAACUGUUGGGUACACCUUCUAUCACAGAUCCGAAGGCAGGACAUUCGUUGCAAAGAAUGAAUCCUUUCUAGAGAAGGAGUUUAUCUCGAAAGAAGUGAGUGGGAGGAAAGUAGAACUUGAUGAGGUAACUGUACCUGCUCCCUUAUUUGAAAAGUAGUUCAUCACAGAAAUCUGUUCCUGCGACUACUACACCAAUUAGUGAGGAAGCUAAUGAUGAUGAUCAUGUAACUUCAGAUCAAGUUACUACCGAACCUCGUAGGUAAACCAGAGUGAGAUCCGCACCAGAGUGGUACGGUAAUCCUGUUCUGGAGGUCAUGUUACUUGACCAUGACGAACCUACGAACUAUGAGGAAGCGAUGAUGAGCCCAGAUUCCGCAAAAUGGCUUGAGGCCAUGAAAUCUGAGAUGAGAUCCAUGUAUGAGAACAAAGUAUGGACUUUGAUUGACUUGCCCAAUGAUUGGCGAGCCAUUGAGAUUAAAUGGAUCUUCAAAGGGAAGACAGACGCUGAUAGUAGUGUUACUAUCUACAAAGCUAGAAUUGUCGCAAAAGGUUUUCGACAAGUUCAAGGUGUUGACUACGAUGAGAGUUUCUCACUCGUAUCUAUGCUUAAGUCUGUCCGAAUCAUGUUAGCAAUUUCCGCAUUUUAUGAAAUCUGGCAAAUGGAUAAACAAAACUGCAUUCCUUAAUGGAUUUCUUAAAGAAGAGUUGUAUAUGAUGCAACCAAAAGGUUUUGUCAAUCCUAAAGGUGCUAACAAAAUAUGCAAGCUCCAGUGAUCCAUCUAUGGACUGGUGCAAGCAUCUCGGAGUUGGAAUAUACGCUUUGAUAAGUUGAUCAAAGGAUAUAGUUUUAUACAGACUUGCGGUGAAGCCUGUAUUUACAAGAAAGUGAGUGGGAGCACUACAACAUUUCUGAUAAGUAUAUGUGAAUGACAUAUUGUUGAUCGAAAAUAAUGUAGAAUUAUUCUGCAAAGCAUAAAGGAGUGUUUGAAAGGAGUUUUUCAAAGAAAGACCUCGGUGAAGCUGCUUACAUAUUGAGCAUCAAGAUCUAUAGAGAUAGAUCAAGAUGCUUGAUAAGUUUUUCAAUGAGCUUGAUAAGCAUAAAGGAGUGUUUGAAAGGAGUUUUUCAAAGAAAGACCUCGGUGAAGCUGCUUACAUAUUGAGCAUCAAGAUCUAUAGAGAUAGAUCAAGACGCUUGAUAAGUUUUUCAAUGAGUACAUACCUUGACAAGAUUUUGAACUAGUUCAAAAUGGAACAGUCAAAGAAAGAGUUCUUGCCUGUGUUACAAGGUGUGAAAUUGAGUAAAACUCAAAGCCCGACCACGGCAGAAGAUAGAAAGAGAAUGAAAGUCAUUCCCUAUGCCUCAGCCAUAGGUUCUAUAAAGUAUGCCAUGCUGUGUACCAGAUCUAUUGUAUACCCUACACUGAGUUUUGCAAGGGAGUACAAUAGUGAUCUAGGAGUAGAUCACUGGACAGCGGUCAAAAUUAUCCUUAGUGGAAUAAGGAUAUGUUUCUCGAUUAUGGAGGUGACAAAAGGUUCGUCAUAAAGAGUUACGUCGAUGCAAGCUUUGACACCGAUCUGGAUGACUCUAAGUCUCGAUCUAGAUACAUAUUGAAAGUGGGCGCUAUUAGCUAGAGUAGCUCCGUGCAGAGUAUUGAAGACAUAGAAUAUUUGCAAAAUACAUACGGAUCUGAAUGUGGCAGACCCGUUGACUAAACUUCUCUCACAAGCAAAACAUGAUCACACCUUAGUACUCUUUGGGUGUUAAUCACAUAGCAAUGUGAACUAGAUUAUUGACUCUAGUAAACCCUUUGGGUGUUGGUUACAUGACGAUGGGUGUUAAUCACAUGGUAAUGUGAACUAUUGGUGUUAAAUCACAUGGCGAUGUGAACUAGAUUAUUGACUCUAAUAAACCCUUUGGGUGUUGGUCACAUGACGAUGGGUGUUAAUCACAUGGUAAUGUGAACUAUUGGUGUUAAAUCACAUGGCGAUGUGAACUAGAUUAUUGACUCUAGUGCAAGUGGGAGACUGAAGGAAAUAUGCCCUAGAGGCAAUAAUAAAGUUAUUAUUUAUUUCCUUACAUCAUGAUAAAUGUUUAUUAUUCAUGCUAGAAUUGUAUUAACCGGAAACAUGAUACAUGUGUGAAUACAUAGACAAACAGAGUGUCACUAGUAUGCCUCUACUUGACUAGCUUGUUGAUCAAAGAUGGUUAUGUUUCCUAGCCAUAGACAAAGAGUUGUCAUUUGAUUAAUGGGAUCACAUCAUUAGGAGAAUGAUGUGAUUUACUUGACCCAUUCCGUUAGCUUAGCACUCGAUCGUUUAGUAUGUUGCUAUUGCUUUCUUCAUGACUUAUACAUGUUCCUAUGACUAUGAGAUUAUGCAACUCCCGUUUACCGGAGGAACACUUUGUGUGCUACCAAACGUUACAACGUAACUGGGUGAUUAUAAAGGUGCUCUACAGGUUUCUCCGAAGGUACUUGUUGGGUUGGCGUAUUUCGAGAUUAGGAUUUGUCACUCCGAUUGUCGGAGAGGUAUCUCUGGGCCCACUCAGAAAUGCACAUCACUAUAAGCCUUGCAAGCAUUGUAACUAAUGAGUUAGUUGCGGGAUUAUGUAUUACGGAACGAGUAAAGAGACUUGCCGAUAACGAGAUUGAACUAGGUAUUGAGAUACCGACGAUCGAAUCUCGGGCAAGUAACAUACCGAUGACAAAGGGAACAACGUAUGUUGUUAUGCGGUUUGACCGAUAAAGAUCUUCGUAGAAUAUGUGGGAGCCAAUAUGAGCAUCCAGGUUCCGCUAUUGGUUAUUGACCGGAGACGUGUCUCGGUCAUGUCUACAUUGUUCUCGAACCCGUAGGGUCCGCACGCUUAAAGUUCGAUGACGGUUAUAUUAUGAGUUUAUGUGUUUUGAUGUACCGAAGGUAGUUCGGAGUCCCAGAUGAGAUCGGAGACAUGACGAGGAGUCUCGAAAUGGUCAAGACAUAAAGAUCGAUAUAUUGGACGACUAUAUUCGGACAUCGGAAAGGUUCCGAGUGAUUCGGGUAUUUUUCGGAGUAUCGGAGAGUUACGGGAAUUCGCCGGGGAGUAUAUGGGCCUUAUUGGGCUUUAGGGGAAAGAGAGAGGAGAGGAUGCGCNNNNNNNNNNNNNNNNNNNNNNNNNNNNNNNNNNNNNNNNNNNNNNNNNNNNNNNNNNNNNNNNNNNNNNNNNNNNNNNNNNNNNNNNNNNNNNNNNNNNNNNNNNNNNNNNNNNNNNNNNNNNNNNNNNNNNNNNNNNNNNNNNNNNNNNNNNNNNNNNNNNNNNNNNNNNNNNNNNNNNNNNNNNNNNNNNNNNNNNNNNNNNNNCGAAUUGGACUAGGGGGAGGGGCUGCGCCCCCUCCUUCCUUCUCUUCUCUCUCCCCUUUCCUUGACUCCUACUCCUACUACCUAGAAGGGGGGAAUCCUACUCCCGGUGGGAGUAGGACUCCUCCUAGGGCGCGCCAUAGAGAGGGCCGGCCCUCCCCCUCCUCCACUCCUUUAUAUACGGGGAGGGGGGCACCCCUUGGAGACACAACAAUUGAUCCCUUGGAUCUCUUAGCCGUGUGCGGUGCCCCCCUCCACCAUAAUCCACCUCGGUAAUAUCGUAGCGGUGCUUAGGCGAAGCCCUGCGUCGGUAGAACAUCAUCAUCGUCACCACGCCGUUGUGCUGACAGAACUCUCCCUUAAAGCUCGGGUGGAUCAGAGUUCGAGGGACGUCAUCGAGUUGAACGUGUGCUGAACUCGGAGGUGUCGUGCGUUCGGUAAUUGAUCGAUCGGAUCUUGAAGACGUACGACUACAUCAACCACGUUGUGCUAAUGCUUCCGCUUUCGAUCUAUGAGGGUACAUGGACAACACUCUCCCCUCUCGUUGCUAUGCAUCACCAUGAUCCUGUGUGUGCGUAGGAAUUUUUUUGAAAUUACUACGUUCCCCAACAGGUAAAGCAUCCCCAUCCACUCAUGUGCAAAGACCAAAAUGACCCUAGGUCAUAACCCUAAUGGGUAGUGUGCUUCUGCACCUCUUUGGGCUGCCUAAAAGGCCUCAAGUGGUCAUCUCCUCACAGCCCACAUGAGGAGGAUAUCCCAACAAAUCUCCCCCUCCGACUCAUGAGGGGGGCACCGCCAUACCCGCUACCUUGCAACAUGCUUGUAGCUUCUCAUUUGGCAAUAUCUUGGUCAUCAUAUCCGCACCAUUAUCGUUGGUAUGUAUCUUCUCAAGUUUCAGCAAGUUGGAACUCACAACAUCGCGAAUCCAAUGGUACCUCACAUCAAUGUGCUUGGUUCGAGAGUGAUAGCUUGAAUUCUUGGCAAGAUGAAUAGCACUCUGACUGUCACAAAAUAUAACAUACUUCUCUUGCUUCAUGCCGAGCUCUUGCAAGAAGUUCUUCAUCCACAAAACUUCCUUGCCAGCAUCAACUGCUGCAAUGUACUCAUCUUCUGUAGUUGAUGUAGAAAUACAUUUCUGCAAUCUUGAUUGCCAUGACACUGCUCCCCCUGCAUAAGUCAUCAGGUAUCCGGAUGUGGACUUCCUACGAUCCUUGUCACCUGCAUAAUCUGCAUCUGUAUAACCCUGCAAUACAGGAUUACCACUUCCAAAGCAUAAACAAGAUGUAGAAGUUCCUUUGAGAUACCUGAGAAUCCACUUCACUACUUCCCAGUGAGCUUUACCUAGAUUUGUCAUGAACCGGCUAACAACUCCAACUGCAUAGGCAAUGUCAUGCCUAGUGCAUACCAUGGCAUACAUCAAAAUGCCCAUAGCAGAUUGGUAAGGUACUUUCCUCAUUUCUUUCUCCUUCUUGCUUGUAGGACAUUGUUUUGAAUUCAGUUUGUGAUGGCCUGCAAGCGGAGAGAUAACAGAUUUUGCAUCUUUCAUAUUGAACCUUUCAAGUACCUUCUCAAUAUAUCUUUUCUGUGAGAGCCAAAGCAGCUUCUUUGAUCUAUCACGGGAGAUCUUCAUGCCAAGUAUUUGCUUAGCUGGUCCUAAAUCCUUCAUGGAAAAUGAUUUACUCAAUGCCUUCUUCAGGAGAUCAAUCCUCUUUGUGCCAUUUCCAACAAUCAGCAUAUCAUCAACAUACAACAAGAGAAUAAUGAAGUCACCCUCGGUGUACCUCUUCAUAAAGACACAGUGAUCAGGUUGUGCUUUAUGGUAACCAAGCCCAGUCAUAAAAGACUCAAACUUCUUGUACCACUGCCGAGGAGCUUGCUUCAAGCCAUACAAGCUCUUCUUCAAUUUGCAAACUAAGUGCUCUUUGCCUGCAACCAAUAUUGUCAAAAUCGCGAUUUUAUUAUACGAUUCUACGACUUUACGAUCCAAACUAACCCCUCUGAUUCUACGAUUUUACUUCAUAGAAUCUACGUUUCUAUGAUCCUAAUAGUGAAGAUUCUAUGAUUUUGCGAUCCUACCAUCGGAGGUCCGAUCCGAUUCAAAAUCGCGAUUCUGACAACCUUGCCUGCAACCAUGAAACCCUCUGGCUGCUCCAUGUAUAUCUCCUCCUCUAGAUCACAAUGCAAGAAUGCAGUCUUCACAUCAAGUUGUUCAGUUUCCAAGUCCAUGCUGGCAGCCAUGCCAAGCACAACUCGGAUCGAAGACAUCUUGACCACUGGAGAGAAUAUCUCAUCAUAAUCAAUGCCCUUUUUCUGCCUGAAUCCUUUCACAACCAAUAUGGCCUUGUACCUUGGAUGUGAGGUGUUUUAUUCAGUCUUCACUCUGUACACCCACUUGUUCUUGAGUGCUUUCUUGCCUUUUGGCAGAUUCACCAACUCAAAAGUAUCAUUCUCAUAUAGGGAAUUGAUCUCAUCCUGCAUGGCUUCUGACCAUUCUUCUUUGUUCUCAUCAUACAUUGCCUCCUCAUAGCAUGAGGGCUCACCUGCAUCUGUCAUCAACACAUAUUGAUGUGGUGUAUAUUUAGAAGAAGGAAUGUGAACUCUUUCACUUCUUCUUUGCUGUUGCACUGGUGGUGAAUCAGGUGGAUUUUUGUUGGCAUCAUCAUUACCAACUUCUUCAUCAUCAUCACUUGAUGGUUGCUCGUCACUUUGACUUGUACUGUCUUGAUCAGUUGCAUCUCCACUGUCUUCAGUGUCAUCAUCUCCCCCAUGAUUUUCAUGCACGAGAGGAGGACGGAUUGGAUCCAUGUCAACCUGAGGUGUGCUGGUCAUUGGCUUCUCUGGUUUCCCAAUAUCUUUUAUUGUUUCAUCUUCAAUGAACACCACAUCUCGGCUUCUCACAAUCUUCCUAUUUGCUGGAUCCCACAACCUGUACCCAAACUCUUCACUUGGUUGGCUGAGGUAGAUGCACUGCUUUGUCUUGCUAUCAAGCUUGGAUCUCUCAUCCCUUGGAACAUGUACAAAUGCCCUACAACCAAAGACCUUCAAGUGCUUGUAUGAUACCUCCUUCCCUGAUCAAACUCUCUGAGGAAUAUCACCUGCAAGAGGAACUGAGGGAGAUAGGUUAACCACAUACAUAGCAUUCAUCAAAGCUUCAGCCCAAAAGGAAUUAGGUAAAUGAGCACGAGAGAGCAUAGUUGUGACCCUCUCUGUGAGUGUCCUGUUCAUUCUCUCUGCAAGACCAUUGAGCUGAGGUGUCUUUGGUGGACUCUUCUCAAGCCUGAUGCCAAACUUUCUGCAAUACCUUUCAAAAGGACCUCUAUAUUCACCAUCAUUGUCUGAUCUCACGCACUUCAAUUUCCUGCCAGUUUCUAUUUCAACCUUGGCAUGGAACUCCUUGAAGGCUUCAAGCGUCUCGUAUUUGUGUUUCAGCACAUACACAAAAACCUUUCUGGAAUGGUCAUCAAUAAAAGUCACAAAGUAUAAUGCUCCACCAUGAGAUUUUUCAGUCAUGGAGCAAACGUCAGUGUGCACAAUAUCAAGAACAUUUUCUGCACGAUGUGGAGGGAGUCACAAAGUAUCAAUAAAAGUCACAAAGUAUAAUGCUCCACCAUGAGAUUUUUCAGUCAUGGAGCAAACGUCAAUGUGCACAAUAUCAAGAACAUUUUCUGCACGAUGUGGAGGGAGUGUACGAAAUGCAACCCUAUGUUGUUUACCUGCAAAACAAUGUGCACAGGGUUUCAAGGAUAUACCUUUCAACUCAGGGAGGUACUCCAUGCGAGCAAGAGCGUGCAUGCCCUUCUCAGUCAUAUGCCCAAGCCUCUUGUGCCACAAUUCAACCGAAGUGUCUUUUUCAGCAAUGUUCAACACCUCAUUGCACAACUUGGUUUUAGUCACAUAGAGAUUACCUUGCUUACUUCCUCGAGCCACAAUCAUAGAGCCUUUGGCGAGCUUCCAUUUUCCUUCACCAAAAUAACUAGGAUGUUUGAUAUCAUCAAGCUUGCCCACUGACAACAAAUUCAGCCUUAUGUCGGGAACAUGCCUCACAUCAUCGAGCACCAAUCUGCAACAUGUGUUUGUUUCAAUGCAUAUAGAGCCCUUGCCAACAAUUGCUGACGAACCACUAUUUCCCAUCAUCACUUGGCCAGUAACACCACUAGUGUAAGAUGUGAAAAUACUCCUUAUAUGAUGUGAUGUGGAAGGACCCACCUGAAUCCACAACCCAACUCAUAGCAUCAUCACGAACAACACUAUAGAAAUCUUCAUCUUCAAUGAUUAGAUAGUCCUCAUCUGUUGCGGUCAUGGCUGAACUGCUCUCAGCCUUUUGCUCGGUUUUCUUUGUGAGUUUCCCCUCUGCAAGCUCACUUUUGUACUUCCUGCACUCGCUCUUUAUGUGUCCCGGAUUGCCACAAUGAAAGCAAGUAAUAUCUUUUCUCUGUUUUGACUUUGAUCUCCCCCUGGAUUUGCUUUUGCCUUGCUGAAAUCUUGUAUUGUUGCGUCCACGGUUCUCAUUCUUCCCAUGGGUUUCAGCCACAUAUGCAUCAGAAGAAGGGGCAUCAUCAUUUUCCUUCUUUCUGGUUUCUUCAUUCAGCAUACUGUUCUUCACCAUCUCCAAAGUCAACUUCCCAUCCGGAGUUGAAUUGCUAAGUGACACAACAAGCGUGUUCCAACUAUCAGGCAUGGAACUCGGCAGCAACAAUGCCUGCACCUCAUCCUCAAGGUUGGUCUUCAUGGCUGAAAGUUGAUUUAUAUCGCAUUGGAAGACAUUCAAAUGCUCAAUCACACUUGUGUCAUCUCAGUACUCAAACUUUGCAAGUCUUUUGAUCACCGAGGCUUUGUUCAUUGAUGUCUUCCUCUCGUACAUGGACUCCAACUUCUGCCACAUCUCAUAAGCAUUUGUGUCGUUUGCAACAUGGUGGAAAAUAUUGUGGUUGAUGUACAACCGAAUCAUACCUACUGCCUUUCUGUGCAAUACUCUCCAUUCUUCUUCUGUGACACCAGUGGGUAUGUUGUCUAUCACAAUUGGCUCAUACAAAUCCUUGCAAUAAAGAAUGUCUUCCAUCAUGGGCUUCCAUAAUGAGUAAUUCGAAGAAUCAAGUUUUAUCAUGUCACUUGUAGUAGUGCUUUCUUCCAAAGGCAUUGUGAGCAGCUCUUCCAGCAACAAUCAAGCAACUGAGAUUUGCAACCUUCUAAGCAACCAAAGCUUUGAUACCACUCUAUUGGGGAAUUAGCACAUAAAUGCACUUGUGGUUAACUGAAAACUGUAGCGGAAACAAGUAAUCUGAGCACCACAUCAUGUACUAACUCAAGGAUCAUUGCUUAGCAUGGAAGGAAACAUAUGCAACAGCAUAUAUGGAGGCAGAAAAUGUUACUCAGCAGGCAAGACACUCCUCAGCCUAGUGUCUUGUGGUAGGAGUAAGUUUCUGGACAGCAGCAAGCAUCAACAAGGAGACACCAGAUUUUUACGUGGAAAACCCCUCAACUUGAAGGGGAAAAACCACGGGCCGAAGCGACCCAAAUCCUCUUCCACUAUUAUCAAAUGUGGGAUACAACAAGUUCUUCUCUAGAUAGCACUAGAGGAUCUCAUACAUCAAGAUUUCUGAAUCUUGGAUGAACACAAUAAGAUUUGCGGCUCAAGAACUAGAGAUUGGAACAAUCUCACGAAAGAUGGUGAAACCGGAGCUUGAAGGAGACAAGGUAGUGGAUCUAGACCAUCACAACCUUGGGGAGGAGCUCCCUUGCUUCUUCCUUCAAUCUUCCUCUUCUUCCCUUGCUCUCUUGGUUUUCUCUCUUCUUCUCCCUUGGAGGAUGAACUGAUCUUCAUCACUCUUGGUGGUGGCUGCUGGAUGGAGAGUAAAGCAUCCCAUCCACUUAUGUGCAAAGACCAAAAUGACCCUAGGUCAUAACCCUAAUGGGUAGUGGGCUUCUGCACCUCUUUGGGCUGCCUAAAUGGCCUCAAGUGGUCAUCUCCUCACAGCCCGCAUGAGGAGGAUAUCCCAACACGUUGUUGUUCGUCGAAGGAGACAUGAGCCAUGUGGGGUAGUCGAUCUCGGCGGAAGUAGGAGACCUCAUCGCCAUCGUCAUCACCGGGCAGAGGAUCUUGGCAGGAGGAAGGGAGUGGAGUCGCCGACGGAGAGAGAAGCGCUUGGCCGGAGGGGCAGGGGAAGCUCGGGAGGAUCGAGUCUAUGUCGUUGCUUCUGGAGGAUUUCCUUCCCAGCAUAAAGAGAUCAGGGAAACGCUCCCAGGGAAGGGCCGUUGAAAGGGUAGAGGUCCCUCCCGACAGUGGGCUACCAAAUGGCGCCGUGGGCUGCCCCGGGUGAAGUUGGCCCAUGUCUUCUUUCCCAGGGAUAAGGCCAGGAUCCACUGAUGUAGGAGAUAUGCCCUAGAGGCAAUAAUAAAUGAUAUUAUUUAUCUCCGAGUUCAGAAUUAUGUUUAUGUUCCAUGCUAUAACUGCUAUGGUUCUCGAGUCUGCAAUAACCACGAGGCUCGGAGGAAGACUCAUAUGCACGUGUGGAAUAAUAAACGGUAAAAUGUAUUCCUAGUCUGGCCUCUAAGACUAGCUCAAGUGUUGCAUGAUGGUUAUGUUUUCCUGAUCAUGGGCAUGUCUAUGUCAGCAACCUUGAGGGCAUAAUGUUAAGAGAACAUUUGUGUUGAAUCGACCCGGCAUGAUGUUAUGCUAUGAGAUUCAUUCGUCACAAGUUUAUUGGUACAUAACACAGAGAUGGUUAACGUUUGCAUGAUUCCUUAGACCAUGAGAGUAUCGAGUUUCUUCAUGCUUGCUUCAUGAACUUUGGGGUUUGUUAAACGUCAUCCGUAAUUGGGUGGCUAUUACGGCGGCUUACGGGUUCAUGGAAAAGUGUGUCAAGUAACUUGAUAGCUCAGGAUUGGGAUUUGCUCCUCCGACGAUGGAGAGAUAUCUCUGGGCCCUCUCGGUGUUACGGUAUCCAUCAUCGUCUGGCCAGACACUUUGUGAUUUGAUCACGGGGAUGCCGGAACACGAUAACGAGAAAAGAGAACAAUACCGGUAACGAGGUAACUAGCAUAGUGGACAAGUUGUUGAUCCACGGGAAUGCCAACAUGUCUCACCUCGGGUAUUUGUAACAUAUCGCGAAGCAACAGGAAUAGCACACGGCAACUGGAGGUUCACUCGAAUAUUUAUUCGUGUGGGUAUAGGGGUCAAUAUGGGUGUCCACGGCUCCGAUGUUGAUCAUUGAUCGGAAGGGGUUCCGGGUCAUGUCUAUACUUCACCGAACCUAUAGGGUCACACGCUUAAGGGUCAUCUAUCUGCUGAAUACUAGACAGGGAGUCUGAGAGAAAAUCACCGAAAAAGUUUCGGACACCGAAAAGUUUCGGACAGCGGAAUCGUACCGCAGAGAGAGGUCAUCAGAUAAGUUUCGAUGAUACCGAAAAGUUGUUUCGGGAUACACCAUUAAGUCAAAUUGGUUUCGGCACAUGCCUGAUAAUUCUUGGAGGAUGCCAGAAUCAUUCUGGAAGCUUUUUGGAAUUUUCUGAGAUAAAAACCGGAAAUGUUCCGGAGCUGCCGGAGCCACUUCAGAUGUGUUUCGCAGAUGAAAAUCACUAAAACCGGAAUUGUUUCGGAACGCGUUGAAAAUCAUUUUAGUGGGUACUGGAAAUGUUCUUAGCCCACAUAAAUAUUUUCAGUUCGAUCAGACGCUGAAAAAUGUCGUCGUGAAUAGUGAAAAUCAGCUUUAUGGUUACUUUAUGGAAAGCCACCUUUUGGGGCUUUGCUCCAAAAGAUCUUGGGGAUGACAUGGAUGGAUAGGAGCCAUUUUUUGGGCCCCUCAUGGGGGUGUGGCUGGCCACAUGGGGUAUCCCCCCUUGGGGACCCUCUUGUUCCUUGGUUUCACUCCUAGGUCCUUGUGGAAGGACUUCAUUCAUGUGCAUUUUGGGUUUUUUGUGAAACUACCCUACCCCCUUGGGAUUUCCUAUAAAUAGAGGUGGAGGGGCAGCCCUCCACACUCAUCCCUUGCUCUCAUACACAUGCCAUGCAUUAUCUGGCUUCUUCUCUCCCUCCCACGAAAAGAGUUUCGUAGAGCCGUAAGGCUGUCUGGGUUCCGGCGGGAACUAGUUCUGGACGGCGAAGCCCUGCCGGAUAGAUGACACCGUAUGUGUGCAACUCUGUAGAGAGAUUGUAGUUUCGGUCUUAGUUCGUGAGUGCCUCCCGAAGGGCUGUCCGUGUGACCGUCCGAGUUUCGAAGGUCCUCCCGAAGGGCUGUCCGAGUGACCGUUCGAGUUUCGAAGGUCCUCCCGAAGGGCUGUCCGCGACACCGUCCGGGGGGCUGUUCGACCGCCUCCUGGAGGGCUGUCUGAGGAGCAGAUGAGGGUAUACAUCCUCGCGGUUGGGAGGUUGUAAAUCCUAGCUGCGGGGAUCUGCACCGCCGAUCGUCAUCGACUCUACUUCCCGCUGCGCUACGAGUCGGUAACGAAAAAGAUCAAACCAUGUAUGCAGUCUCCAUAGUGGUCCUGGGCUGGUGUGUAGGUCGGAAAAUUUUUGUUUUCUGCUGCGUUACCCUACAGUGGCAUCAAGAGCCGUGCUAUGCGUAGAUGCAGGUUUCGAUCUAGAAUACAUGGAGAUGUAUGGGUAUUGCAUAAUAUAAUUAGGUAGUAGAUGAGAUCUAUUGCUGAAAAUUAUUUAUGCGGGUGACAGAUGAAAUCUGUUACCCGAGGUUCUUGUUGCUUCCCUAGAAUUUGCGUUUGCUCAAUCUCGAGACAGCAUGGUGGAAUUUGACAAAGUUCUGGCAAUCCGUGAUCCUGAUUGAUCAUGGAAGUGCUAUCAGUUCUUUGGGUUCUGCCAUAGUCAAAAGAAAGAUGAAAUUCGCAGAUGAAAGGGCAUUGCAGAUAUGAUCUGCACGGGGGUCAUGCGUAUGACGAAGUUUAGUAUGGGGCUCGAGAUUUAAUUAUCCCGUGUUUCAUACACCCCGAGAUGUUAAUCUAGCAACCUGAAUAAUCAUACUUGAUGAUAAAACGUUGGUAGCUGCGGUUUAAGUCAAAACCUUAGAAGCCACGUAAAAUAAAAUUUUGCAUAAACCUAUUAGAGGCGUCUAACUUGGUUUUGCAGGAUGUGCAUGUGAUGUGGUAUAGCAGUGCUCAUACUAAUUCGAUUAUGUAUGAGAUGACUAUAUGAUGUAAUUUGAUUAACAUGACCUGUGUGUCAUGAUUCGGCAUGAUGGCUGGAGCCAUAUGAUUGCAUUUUAAUGACCUGCGUGUCAACCUUGUUGUAAUGCAUUAUUUUGUUAGCUAUAGAAAUAGCAAUAUUAUCUGGUGCAUCGACAAGGUGGUGGCAAUCUUCGUGAAGGUGACCACCAACGCGAAUGCCGAAGACGAAGAAAUGAAAUACUUCUCCGUCAGAAAGGGCUAUACCAUAUCAUGCUAUUAUGAAUUGCCUGAGAUGUUUAUCCCUUAUGAUGCACCCUUCUUGAUUGCGCGGUAGUCGCUUUUAUUAGGGUGAUCUCUCACUUAAAAUAUCAAGUAGUUAGUGUUCUCCCAAGUGUAGCACCGUCACGGCACCUAUCUUUUCGGGGUGCGCCAUGGAUGCAUGGGUACGAACGAUUAGAGAAGUGUGAGGCGGGUGAGGUCAGACCUCGCAACAAGAUCACUUGGUUGUCUUGACGUUCAUGGCAGGAUCGUCCUGAGCUCGGAACACACGCAUCGAAAGAUGAGCAAGAGUCACAUAGAGAUGUGAUCGGCAAGUUGGCCUACCGAUUAAAAUUCCCGUUAUGAGAUGAUGAUUCUAUGGCGAUGAAUUGAAGUCUGGAUCUUGUAUCACUCAAAAUUAAUUGUGAGAGAUAUUGAUUUGAGUGGGAGCGCACUGUUGAAUUAACAUGUUUAAAUUCUCAGUGCAAUUAAUUAUGAACACUGUCUAAGUGUUUCUUGCAUAAUAGUUGUAGAAUAAUGGCUCGCAUUUCCACCUUCCCUAUUAAAAUUGAAUAGCUGUUAAAUAUCUGGUUAAAACUUUACGAUUGGUAACGUAAUAUGAGGAUUGUCCUCAAAAGUGCCGAGAAGGACUUUGUCCUAUCGCAUGCUUUCCGUAUCCUCCCGCUAAUGUUAUGGAUCAUGUGACUCUCGUCCUUCGAUCCAAAAGCUAGAAUUCUGUUACGGUCAAGUGGAAUAUGGUUGCUUCCAUGAAACCCAGACUUCGAAAGUUGGGUUAGUUAUAUGAUAUUCAUGGAACUGAAAAUUAUUUUCAGAUACAAACAAAGCAAUGUUUGUUUGCAAGUAUUAGUAAAAGUGUUUACUAUGCAUUUGACUGUUGGGAAAGGGAUCCAGAAGAACGCCUGUCAUAUAAUGAAAGGUGAAUAAAACAACAACUUAAAGAGAAAGGAAGUGUCCAAAGGGUGUUAGUAUGACUUACACGCCUAGGAAGUCCGGGGCUAAUGCCACUCUUAAGUUGGGUGCUUCUUCUGAGAGUAGGAGAAAUACUAAAAGUUAAACUGUUAGAAGUAUAAAGGCAAAAGGAAAGAAGACUGGAAUAUCCAGCUCAUGUAUGAAUGUCAUACAAGUUUUUGAUGUAUAGAAGGCUGGUCAAAGAUAUAGUUCUUGCGAAUUAUGGUUAAACAUGUUAAUCACUAAUUCUUGGGUAUUGUGAGUUCAUCACAAAAUUGCCCGCUCGAUUGCAUUCUGUUGCAACUCGAUGUAAGAACUACUAUGGUCUGAAAGACUAGCUAGAAAUGAGGUUAAGGUAUACACAGGGAACAUAGUAAAUGUUACUAUACCUUCCAUCGGUGUAUUGCCGUCUGUAUUUAUUUUCAUAAUUCAUUUAGAGUUUUACAAACUCUAUCCCAUUGCAUAAGGUAUCUUGCAAGAAGGUUGUUCAUAAGAGAACUUUUUAUGUUCGAUGUUAUGAAUAACACAAGGGCCAUACUUUCAUUAUGAAUGAGAUGUAUGUUAUGAAUAUUGAUAAUAAUACAAUACCUCUGGGUUUACUUUCAUAAUUCAUUUUAGAGUUUCAUACACUCUAGCCCAUUGCACAAUGUUUGUUGCAAAAGAGUUGUUCAUAAAAACAACAAUUGUUGUUAAGUAUUAUGAAUAACAUGAAGGGCCAUGCUUCCAUCCAAGAUGGCAUGUAUGUUAUGAAUAUUGAUGGUAAUAUGAUACAUCCAUAACACUGACGCUAAAUGUCGCAAGACUAAAAGAAUACCACACAAGUGUGGCACUACAUUUGGUCACAUUGGAGAAACCGCAUGGAAAAUUCCAUUAUGAUGGAUUUUGAAGUCUUCUUGAUGUUGAAUCAUCUGACACUUGCAACUUUCCUCCGAAAAGUGAAGUGACUAAAAUACCGUUCACAGGCCAUAAGGAACGACAACAAACUUAUUAGUGAUCAUACAUUUGAUGUGUGUAGUCCGAUAAGUGUUGUUAGUGGUGGAUUUAUUUAUCUUCAGAAAUGACUCAAGUAGAUAUAUGGAUAUUUACUUGAUGAGACGUAAGUCUGGAUCUUUUGAAAUCAUUCGAAAGGUUCUCAAAAAUGAAGUAGAAGUUAUUGUAACAAGAAAAUUAUGUUUCUGCAAUUUGAUUGCACAAAGGAAUAUUUGAGUUACAUGUUUAGCGAAUGUCUGAUGAGUUGUGAAAGGGGUUUCAUAACUUGCACCUCCCGGAACACCACUGCAAGUGGAAAGUCUGUGGAGAUGUAAUCAAACCAUUUAUGACAUGGUAAGGUGAAAGAUGACAUAAAUAAAUUUGCCAUUAUCCCUUUUAAAGUGAUGCUUUAGAGACUGCGGAUUUUACACUGAAAAGAGCUACAUCGGGUCUGUUGAAAUGAAGCCAUGGUAUGGUACGCCCAACCAUGUUAUAUCUUUUCUUAACAUUUGGAAUAUGGGGCUUGUGUAAAAGGUUACAAACCUAUUCCAAAUCAGACAAGUGCUACUUUGUAGGUUAUACCAAAAUGUUGGUUAUUCCUCCCUCACUAUACCGAGGCAAAUAGUUUUGCCGCGAAACGGUGUGCUUUUAAAGAGAAUGGUUCUUUCAAAAAGGUGAGUGGGAGAAUAGUGCAACUCGACGAGAUAAACAGUAUCUACGUCAUCAGAUCAAAGGAAAGAGACCUUGGAAGUAAUUCCAGAGUUUCCUACUGCGACUGAUACGGAAGUCUCUACAAUAAAAUGUAUGAACUUCGGUCGAACUUGCAGCUGAACCACGUAGGCAAGGCUCGUGCAAACCUCUCAGGUGCGCAAACGAGAUAUUGUUGUUAGACAACAUUAUACCUACGAUACACAAGGAAGCGUUGAUGGGCCCUGACUCCGGAAUUGGCUAAAUGCCAAUACAACCCAAGUUAGUUUCCAUAUAAGUGAUUCAAGAUUAAAACCUUGAUACACCUUUCGGAAGACUUAGAGUCUAACGAAUAUAUGGAACUUAAAACUGAUAUGGAUAAAAAUGUUUUAUCCAUAAAGCUCGACUUGUUGAAAUAACAAGUUCAAGAGUUGACUACGAUGAGGUUGUUUUCAUCGUAGCGAUGCUUAAAGUCGGUUCGGGUUGAACUAGCAAUUAAUACAUAUUUCAAUCAUGAGAUAUGAAACAUGGAUGAUAAAAGGAUUUCCAUCUGAUGGAAAUGAAAGCUAGGACUUGUAUAUGAUACAGUCCAAAGUAAUUUGUCGAUCCAGAGGAUGCUAGUAGGUAUGCAAACUUCAGAGUUCCAACAAUGGACAGAAGAGAGCAAAAUGGAGUUGGAAUCUUCGUGUUUUGAUGAAAUGGUCAAAGGGGUUUUGACUUCAUCAAUGGGUAACAAAGAUGCUUGUAAUUCAAGAAAGUAAGUGGGAGCGUAUAAUAUUUCUAAAAACCUUAUGUGCUUGGCACAUUGGUAAUUGGAAAUAAAUUUCUUGACACGAAUUAGGACUUCAUUUGAAAAUAGUUUUUCGAUGAAGUGCUUAGGCUAAAUAGCCUCAAUAUUAGGCAUGAUGAUCUAUGGAGAUAGAUUUACCUAAUGGGGCUAAGCAAUGAAUGCAUAUUGACAAGAUGCUAAAACCUUUUAGCAUUUAAAACGCCAAGGAGUGAUUCUUGCCAAAGUCACAUGGAAGGAGUUUUUGCAAGACUCGGUGUCCCAAAACACUGAUGAGUAAAAUACAUGAUGCAGAUUCCACACACUUUUGUGUUUGGAUUAAUCAUGUAUUCCAUGGUAUGUAAAACAACCAGAUAUGUCCGAUACUCCCAAGGUGUUGCGAGUAUGGAUACUAAAGUGAUCAAAGUACUGAUCGUGGGACAACAGUGAAAAAUGUCAUUGAGUACUAGAGUAAGUACUGAUGAUAUGUUUUCUUGCAAGCGGAGAUCAUGAAGAGUUCGUUGUAAAAUGUUACAUCGAUAGUCUUCAUCUUUUCACUGUGCGAUUUUUGAUUUAAGUUAAGGGUUUUGUGUAACACACAAUGUGGUGGCACAGUUAGUUGGAAUUUGUUCAAACUAGUUACUGUGGCGAAUUCUAUAACAAGGGCUAAGUAUGUUGACGCUUUAGAAGCCACAAAGAAGAUGUUGAAUCAUAUAGUUCAUUCAUGAACUUAGUAUAGUUCCAAGAUGGCUUUUGACAAUGGGACACUACUGCAGGUAGUUGCUCCAAAACUCAGUCUAAGGAAUCCAGGUUCGACCUGUGAUUCACAUACAUACAAAGCCAAGUCCACACAAAAUAUGAAUUUUGUGAAAACGUGAAAACACGAGGACAUGCAAAGAUACACACGGAACUGAAGUCGUCAGAUCCGUUGGACAUCAGGCUAUACCACAAGCGGAGCAUAUUUACACCGGUGUGCCACAGGUGUAAAGUGCAUUGGCAUUAACUAGAUUAUUGACUCUAGUGCAAGUGGGAGUCUGUAGGAGAUAUGCCCUAGAGGCAAUAAUAAAUGAUAUUAUUUAUCUCCGAGUUCAGAAUUAUGUUUAUGUUCCAUGCUAUAACUGCUAUGGUUCUCGAGUCUGCAAUAACCACGAGGCUCGGAGGAAGACUCAUAUGCACGUGUGGAAUAAUAAACGGUAAAAUGUAUUCCUAGUCUGGCCUCUAAGACUAGCUCAAGUGUUGCAUGAUGGUUAUGUUUUCCUGAUCAUGGGCAUGUCUAUGUCAGCAACCUUGAGGGCAUAAUGUUAAGAGAAUAUUUGUGUUGAAUCGACCCGGCAUGAUGUUAUGCUAUGAGAUUCAUUCGUCACAAGUUUAUUGGUACAUAACACAGAGAUGGUUAACGUUUGCAUGAUUCCUUAGACCAUGAGAGUAUCGAGUUUCUUCAUGCUUGCUUCAUGAACUUUGGGGUUUGUUAAACGUCAUCCGUAAAUGGGUGGCUAUUACGGCGGCUUACGGGUUCAUGGAAAAGUGUGUCAAGUAACUUGAUAGCUCAAGAUUGGGAUUUGCUCCUCCGACGAUGGAGAGAUAUCUCUAGGCCCUCUCGGUGUUACGGUAUCCAUCAUCGUCUGGCCAGACACUUUGUGAUUUUAUCACGGGGAUGCCGGAACACGAUAACGAGAAAAGAGAACAAUACCGGUAGCGAGGUAACUAGCAUAGUGGACAAGUUGUUGAUCGACGGGAAUGCCAACAUGUCUCACCUCGGGUAUUUGUAACAUAUCGCGAAGCAACAGGAAUAGCACACGGCAACUGGAGGUUCACUCGAAUAUUUAUUCGUGUGGGUAUAGGGGUCAAUAUGGGUGUCCACGGCUCCGAUGUUGAUCAUUGAUCGGAAGGGGUUCCGGGUCAUGUCUAUACUUCACCGAACCUAUAGGGUCACACGCUUAAGGGUCAUCUAUCUGCUGAAUACUAGACAGGGAGUCUGAGAGAAAAUCACCGAAAAAGUUUCGGACACCGAAAAGUUUCGGACAGCGGAAUCGUAUCGCAGAGAGAGGUCAUCGGAUAAGUUGGGAUGAUACCGAAAAGUUGUUUCGGGAUACACCAUUAAGUCAAAUUGGUUUCGGCACAUGCCUGAUAAUUCUUGGAGGAUGCCAGAAUCAUUCUGGAAGCUUUUUGGAAUUUUCUGAGAUAAAAACCGGAAAUGUUCCGGAGCUGCCGGAGCCACUUCAGAUGCGUUUCGCAGAUGAAAAUCACUAAAACCGGAAUUGUUUCGGAACGCGUUGAAAAUCAUUUUAGUGGGUACUGGAAAUGUUCUUAGCCCACAUAAAUAUUUUCAGUUCGAUCAGACGCUGAAAAAUGUCGUCGUGAAUAGUGAAAAUCAGCUUUAUGGUUACUUUAUGGAAAGCCACCUUUUGGGGCUUUGCUCCAAAAGAUCUUGGGGAUGACAUGGAUGGAUAGGAGCCAUUUUUUGGGCCCCUCAUGGGGGUGUGGCUGGCCACAUGGGGUAUCCCCCCUUGGGGACCCUCUUGUUCCUUGGUUUCACUCCUAGGUCCUUGUGGAAGGACUUCAUUCAUGUGCAUUUUGGGUUUUUUGUGAAACUACCCUACCCCCUUGGGAUUUCCUAUAAAUAGAGGUGGAGGGGCAGCCCUCCACACUCAUCCCUUGCUCUCAUACACAUGCCAUGCAUUAUCUGGCUUCUUCUCUCCCUCCCACGAAAAGAGUUUCGUAGAGCCGUAAGGCUGUCUGGGUUCCGGCGGGAACUAGUUCUGGACGGCGAAGCCCUGCCGGAUAGAUGACACCGUAUGUGUGCAACUCUGUAGAGAGAUUGUAGUUUCGGUCUUAGUUCGUGAGUGCCUCCCGAAGGGCUGUCCGUGUGACCGUCCGAGUUUCGAAGGUCCUCCCGAAGGGCUGUCCGAGUGACCGUUCGAGUUUCGAAGGUCCUCCCGAAGGGCUGUCCGCGACACCGUCCGGGGGGCUGUUCGACCGCCUCCUGGAGGGCUGUCUGAGGAGCAGAUGAGGGUAUACAUCCUCGCGGUUGGGAGGUUGUAAAUCCUAGCUGCGGGGAUCUGCACCGCCGAUCGUCAUCGACUCUACUUCCCGCUGCGCUACGAGUCGGUAACGAAAAAGAUCAAACCAUGUAUGCAGUCUCCAUAGUGGUCCUGGGCUGGUGUGUAGGUCGGAAAAUUUUUGUUUUCUGCUGCGUUACCCUACAACUGAAACCAAAUGACUCCUUGGGAGAGCUUAUUUGGCGGUCUGCAGCAGCAGAUGAUCAUAGGAUCCCCAUAUCAGGCUUACUAGAACAUUGCAGUGUUCCUAAUAAAUAUUCAGAAAUUUUGUGAGACCAUAUAUACACGGUAUAUAAUGCACCCUAAAAUUUCUGAUAAUCUGUGAGCACAUAUGCAAUAUGCAUGUACUACUUAGCGAAAACGCAACACAGGAAAAAAUGCAUACUAGUAAAGUUGGACUCUUGAUUUGGCCCAUUAUCAUCACUAUUUUUUUUCUAGGGCUAUAGGCUGAACUUUGAAUUGUUUUUUCAAGAAAUUAUACAUAUUUUUGCAUCUACGUUAUGUGAAUUUUCCAGAAAUUUAAGAAAGUUGUACAGUCUGUAGAAACCAGAUACUCCGGGUAAAUUCUCCGUGUGCGCCAGAGCUUCUCAGGUCCACAACCCAAGCUGUUCUCGGCAUCCGCCUACAGUGAGUCAAAAUGGGAAUGGGCCGACCCAGCCCUGGCCCCGUGGCCCCAAGGUCAAAAUAUGAGGCCACGGGCCGGCCCAUUUUAUCAGAAUUUUGUGGCCCCAUUGACCCAUUGGGUACAUGAGGCCGACACAGAAUUUAGCAAAUGUUUAGUAAAAUGGCAAGAUCAUGAGACUACAUGUUUGAAAGAGCAUCAAGCUAAAUACCUCAAUCCAAUAGAUUCGAACAAGAUCAAAAGAUUACAAGUUUCAAAGAACGUCAAGCUAAUGACCUCAAUCCAACAGACUCAUACAAGAUCAAAAUAUUACAGGUUCAACAUGCUAAUCUUUUCACAUCCAGUAGGUUAUAGAGAAAGCUGACAUAUCUUUGCUUCACCAUCUGCUUGAGGUUUAACAUCAAUUGCUCCAACAAGCAUCAGUCCUCGAUAUCUGUAUUUACAAAGAAAUGUUACAAGAGUAAUUCUGUGCACAUCAACUAAAUAGUAUAUUUAUCCAUCAAAAAAACUAAAUAAUAUAUUUAUGAACAGAGGAAUAUGCUUAGUAGCAAAUGCGUGUUCCAGAAAACCAAUUCAUGAUCAGGUUUGCAAGAAAAUACACUUCUAAAUAUCCAUUAUACACUACCCGUCAUCCACUCCGCAACAUAUUCUAAUCAAGAUUUAGUUAGCAAUGCAUAUUUUUAAUAUAGUUUGGCGAUGAAAAAAAUGAAUCUGAACUACACAUUCAUAUCUGAGAGAAAAAAGAAAUAUAUAUUAGAGAUCAACUAUAACUUGGGGAAACCAAAACUAAAAGCACUACAAAGUCAACACCAAUGAUUAAAUAGAAUUUAUGGCUACACAAACCGUUGAAGAUAGUUCUAAACCUAGGCCAAAACGAACUGGUGCAGUUCUGUGUGUAAAACACUAUAUAUUCAUCUACAUGUUUGGGCUGCAUCUUGCAAAUAGUUCCCUGGAACAAACUGUAGAUAUGAAAUCCCUCUUUAAAAAGCAGACAUCAUACUUUAAGUGUACUUUCAUAUACAUGGCACUACAUACAUCAGAAAGUUUCUCAUACCUUGUAAGUCUAGUAAAAUGUCAUGAACUGAAGCCAAGCUACGUUGAGUAUUAGCUGCAGAAAAAAAAAAGAAACUUGUAAACUUGAAGUAUUGAUAAGAAACAAAGAAGAAACUUGUGUUGUAUGGCUUUACCGGUGGCCCUUAUCCAAUCUUGUAAGCAAACAAGAGCUUCAAGUGUCGUUGCGGUCAUUCGACUUCGAAAAUCUGAUAGGACUCUCUCCCCUGUGCUGAAGGCGGACUCGGAUGCCACCGCAGAGGCAGGAGCCGCCAAGAUAUCUACUGCCAUGCGACUCAGCGUUGGGUAUUCACCUGAGUUCGUCUGCCACCAUGCAAGGAUAUUGAAUUGAUCACUUCGACGGAUGGGUACCUUUGACAAGUACGAAUCAAGUUCAGUAGAAUCCAAAUUUGUUGAUCGAGCAGUGAGGGUGACAUGUUGGUCCCAAUCAGCCAUAGGAUCUUCACCACUUAUAGCCAUGUCAUCAUCACCUCCUUGUGACAUGGGAUCUGAGCCAUUGUCAUUCAAUUGGAGGUAUUCCUUGAACAACCCUUGGAACACAUUUUUUUAUUUUAGCAAUCAUUGCUGCAGCUACGUUCCCAAACUCUAGGCCAAAUCGGAACUCAAUAUAUUUCAACUUGAAUUGUGGGUCCAAAAUCACUGGAAUACAAAGGCUCAACCAUGUCAUCUUCCAGUACCUUCUGAAUUUUCUCUUCAUAUAUUUGACUGUUGUACCCAUCUCAGAAUCCUCUUCAUAAUGUUGUUGCUCUAAGGUCAGCUUCACUUUUCACAUUUCAUGGAAAUACAAAUUAGCAGUUGGAUAUUUUGUGCCCGAUAUCACAUUAGUGGCUUCAUAAAAUGCCUUCAGUAGCCUGCAAACAUCUUCGGCAUUUUCCCAAUCCUCAAAAGAUGGCUUGAAGGUAUAUUGUUUAUCGUGAAUGGCCAAAGAGUCAAACACUCCGCGAUACUCCUUCGCUAUAUCAAUCAUCAUGUAGGUUGAGUUCCAGCGAGUUGGAACUUCAAGACUUGGAGUUCUCCCACAUGAUACACCAUGCUGCGCAACGAUUUCUUGAAAUUUUUCCUUUCGACUUGGUGAGCUUCGAAUAUAUUUGACACUUUCACGCAUCAUGUUGAUCACUGGACCAAGGAAGUUCAAUCCUGCUUGACAUAUCAGAUUUAUGACAUGGGCAGCACAACGUUGGUGAAACAACUUGCCACUACCAGGUAACAUCUUCUUAAGCAGGAGAUGUGCCUUCAAUAGCUUCAUCAUUGCACCAUUGUUUGAUGCAUUGUCUAGCGUCACAGCAAAGAGAUUAUCUUCAAUGUUCCACUCUCUUAUGAAAUUCACCAUGACGUUGAACAUUGCAGCUCCUGUGUGCGGCGUCUCCAUAGCUGCGAAUUUCACUAUCCUCUUCUGCGGCUUCCACUCCUCAUCAAUGAAGUGAGCUGUGAUGCAAAUGUACCCCACUGUCUGAUUUGAUGUCCACAGAUCCGUAGUCAAAGAAAUCUUGGAUUUGGAGUUUUGGAACAUCCUUUGCAGAAUUCUCUUCUCUUCCUUAAAUGCUUUCAUGCAGUCCUCCUUCACUGUUUUUCUACAUAUCAUCUUGAAGCUAGGAUUUAGACUAGAGACAAAUCUUCUAAAUCCAUCGUACUCCACCAAUGAGAAUGCCAAUUCAUGCAACACAAUCAUCCUCAUUAGCUCUCGGCGUGCUAAUGCCUGAUUAAAUGUCCAGAGCCCCAUUGCAACUCCAUCAGGACUCACGAUAGAAGCACUCAGCUGUCCAGAAACUCUAAGAACCUUCUUCCUUUCCCUGCAUCUCUUCAAAUGUUUGCGCAAUGAACUUGUUCCAUGUUUACGCUCAGCACAAAUAUUCCUUGCACAGUGUUUGCACUCAGCAGCUACAACUAUGCCAUCAACACGGAUAGGCUCAUAUUCUUUCCACACUUUAGACAAAAACUUUCUUCCCGGUUCAGAAAAUGAACCCAUGUCAAUGAUCUCAACCCCUCCCUCUUCAUCCACAUUAUCUCCCUCUUCUUCUUCUUCUUCUUCUUCUUCUUCUUCUUCUUCUUCUUCUUCUUCUUCUUCAUCAUCAUCAUAUUCUUCUUCAUCAUCCUCAUCUUCUUCUCCUUCCUCUUCUUCUUCAUAGUCAACAUCUUCUUCAUCAGCCUCAUCUUCUUCACAAUCAACCAUACGAGUGUCUUGUGAACGUCCUGCUGAGCAAAGGACACGAGUGUUAACAUUGCAAUUACGAGUAUUUUUUUAUUUUAGCAAUCAUUAAUUUGCAUCCCUAGAAAAAGAAAGAUUACCAAUACUCACCAUGAUAAGCUCUACAAAUGUUUAUCGAAGAAGGAGACACCCCUGGGGGUGGUUGAGCCCUUCUCAUUGUCGCACCGGAUAUCAACGAUGAACCACCACUUUGGUAUGCCUCAUGGUCCCCUUCUUCCUCUUCCAUUUUUCUGACCAGAGGGAAAUAUAGGAACAUUAGAGAGCAUUAACUUUCAAAAUCAACAGCAGAUGUAAUACCCAAAUUUCAUUUACUUGUACUAGUGUAGGACAACCAACAAAUUUUGUAUAUGAACUUAACAGAAUUUGGUUUGAGAAUCCAAACACUUAGGCCUCCUUUGGUUCAUAGGAUAGGAAUUUCAUAGGAAUAGGAAAAGUAUAGGAAAUGAGGUGGCAUGCAUCUGAAAUCCUAUGAAUGCUCAGACUAUAGGAAUAGGAAACUAAAUGUCAUUUGGUUCAGGGGAUAGGAACACACAUAGGAAACAUAAAGAAAUAAUGUCAUUUGGUUUAUGGUUAAUAAUGUUAACAAUUAUACUCCCUCUGUAAAGAAAUAUAAAAGCGUUUAGAACACUACUUUAGUGAUCUAAAAACUCUUAUAUUUCUUUACGGAGGAAGUAUAUACAAAGUGCAAAUAUAGACCCUGCCAGCAUAGUAUAUUAUCAUGUAACUGGAGUAUGAACUGAGCAACUAGUGCAGGCAAUCAUCAACUCAUCACACGGGCUAGUGCAGGCAAUUAAAAUACAAAUUGGCUGCUAGUGCAUGGAGCCUGAAUACACAAUAGCAUACUACUCCGUAUGAUGGAUCCAGGGAGAGAAGGCAAGAUGGAUCCAGAUAGUGCAGGCAAUUAAAAUACAAGAUGGAUCAAGAUGGAUCCAGGGACUGGACACAGAUUUGAUUCAACUUUUUUAUUUCUUUUCCCAUCCUUGUCUGCACGCGAGUUAGCGAAAAAUGCAGGGAACAGUUAUCCGCGCGCAUGUCGUUCGCCAUAGGAAAUUUUCCAUCAGCUUGGACCUAAUGUUUCUGAUCCUGUGAAAUCUAGUUCAUACUUGUUCAUGUACUUGUUCAUAUAAAACAUUUCCAAUCAAAUAUGAUCUAGUUACUUGUUCAUGUACACUGACUGAAUGACAGGGACCAACACCGUAGAACUACUACAGAACCAACACUGAAAGUAAGGCAUGACCUGGGAGUACACUGACUGAAUGAAUGACAGGGACCAACACCGACUGAAUGACUGAUCCCAUGGCUACAAAGUACACUGACCGAAAGUAGCAGAAUCAAUACUGAAACAAUUGCAGACAACACUGAUCAAGAACCAAAACAAGACCAGUGCUUGCAUUGCAGCUGCGCUGGGACAGGGAGGAAGCCGGCAAGAGUCUCACCUGCGAGAUGAUGACGGCGACCGGAACGGCGAGGUAGACGGUGGACGGGACCGCAGGUCAGCGAGCUCGACGGCGACCAAUACGACGAACGAGAGGCGGGAGGAACGCCGGCGGCAGCAGGCCAGCAGAGAUGUUCAGGGGCAGCCGGCGGCGGCAGAGAUGGUCGGGGGCGGCUGGUAGAGAAGGUCAGGGGAGGCCGAGGGCGGCAAAGAUGGCCAGCAGCUGCCGGCGGCGGCAGAAAUCGUCGGGAGCAGCCUACAGAGAUCGUGGUGGGCGGCGGCAGAGAUGGACUAGGGCAGCGCGAUCAGACGGCUGGGUCGACCCGUCUGGUCCAUCGGGUCACACGGUGCCGGCUCCACUGACCCAUUUUAUGAUUCGAGGCCAACCCACCUGGCCCAUUGGCCUCGAGAUUUCGGGCCGGGUCAAUGACCCAGCGGGCCGACCCGACCCAUUCCCAUUUUGAACAGUGAGCUAUCAUCAACUUUCUCAGGGUAGGUAUGCAUACAGUAAUUGUUUGUUCUCAUAAAUAUAACUUCAGGCAACUCUAGAGUUUCCGCACUGCCAAUACAGCUAACAGUCGUUGGCACCAACACGCUGGUGAUUGAUUAUUCACACCCAUAAUUAGAAAACAAAACCCCGCAAAAUGACGUGCAUCUCAUAUAUAAAUCAUCCUGCCGCCGCCUCAUCAGUAGGUGUAGCCCUUCUGGAACAUGCCCUUCUUGGCCUCGUCGCUCUCGCCCUCGCCGGUGUAGCUGCCGAGCUGCGCCAACGAGUUGGCCUUGGCGCGGACCAGCAGGGCCUUCUGCGCCGCCUCGAUGUUCUCGGGCUGCCCCUGCCACGUCUUCAGCACCGAGUUCUGGAGGGCCCGGGCGUACGAGAAGGACACGUGCCACGGGUUGGCGGACUGGUUCAUCGCGUUCAGGUUCAUGGUUGCCUCCAGCUCGGACUGUCCGCCGGA